CUCCUUGGUUCUGGCGUUCACAUAAAUAAAGAGACAAACAUGUAUGAUUUAUAACUCCAAAUUAACCAACCCAACUGAUUCAGCAUGUUUAGUCAUUUAAUCUUUGUUCUUAGUACUACCUACAUGAUCCUACACUCAAAAUCAUAUGAGCUAAAAUAUUACACAUUCAAUCUUUGAGAGAUAUAAAGAAAAAUACAUAUACAUAGUUAGAUUAUCUUUCCAUAAGGUUGAGCGAUCUGAUCUGACAAAUGUUUUAAGUGCUACACUCAUGAACUUAUCAUCCAUCAAUUUUGUCUUGCUCACUAUGCUUAAGGUUAGAGAAGAACAAAUACACUUUUGGUUCUGUUGUUGUUUUCCACCAAUAGGGCCCAUGCACUUGAUCUCUGCCUUGUCUCUAUGAGCAGGUACACUUCGAGCAAAACAUGGAGGAGUUUUACAACUCCCAGAUUCCACCAAGUGUAGGACCUGGAUCUACGAGCACAAACACACUGAGCAGGAUGCUACCAACACCACACUUCGAACUGCUGGGCAAACGAAGUACAUGGGUGACACCGUAUCAAGAGGUGCAGACAUCAAGGUGCACACCUGAAUCAAAUGACGCACCUGAAGAACAAACACGGUGAGAAGUCUUGUCCAGAAGACUUAAAACAUUGAACCCUCGCCGAAAGAUCCAUAUUUAUCCUUUCUGCAUUUUUCCUUAAAGUAUUUACUUUCCUUAAAUGGCUUGUUAGUUAGUCAUGCUAUCUUGAAAAGAAAAUAAAAAUGUUAAAAAUAGUAAGCCCCAUGUGAGUAUGCUCGUGGCAUAAAACCCAUAAGUACAUUCACUGCGGUGGCGUAAAAAAUAAAUAAAUAUAUUCCUGUCCUACAAAAAUGAAAAUAUAAAAAUAAAUUUAUGAUCCUACCAAAGAGAGUAAUAUUUAUUAGGGGAAGCUCAACAUGAUAAUGGCUAAGAGAUUUUAUGCUAACACUAGUUCCACAAUGCUUUGUUGUCUAUUUGAGCUCCACAGAAUUCAAGGAUCAAAGAAGACUAGCAGACGGAGGACAUUCUAAUCGCUGUCAAGGUGCUGCCGACAUUCAAAUACACCUCCUCCACCUGCUAGCUAGAUCAGAAGAAAUGACGUCACAAUCCAGCUUGGGGGAGAGCACCCCCAUUUAUCCAGCUAAGUGUUUCUACUCUUGUUUAUACUUUACUCAAAUAAUAAAAAGAUGCAUAAUCAUAAAAAGCCAAAUAAAGAUUUUGUGCUUAUAUAUAUCUUUGCUUAGUUUGCUAAAUAAAUAAAUAAAUAAAGUUUGCUAUGAACCCUCAUGAUAAGCUCUCACAUGGAAAUGAUGAAUAGUUUCUCUGUCAUGACUAGUUCUCAAAAGUAAAAUCUCUCUCAAGUUUAGGUAUGACUGUUAUGAAUUAAGACCUGCUCUAAACCUGAACUUGUGGGAAGAGUACUUGAUCUAAAGUCUAAGUCGUUAACGGAUAUGAUAUGGGAAGGUUGAGUUCUAUUUAUCUGUUCCUAGAGAUGCUAGAAUUCUAGAGAAUUUUAUCUUUGAAAAUCUUUAAAAUUUUGCAUGAUGAGUUCCUAUAUGAUGAGAGUUUAAAAUCCAACCACAGCCAUAUAUACAUGCAUAUUAGACUAUGAACCACACAUUUACUUUUUACUGCUUAUAAGCAUUGAGUGUGGUCAAGCUGUGUAGACCCUUAGGAGCUUAUCAUGCGAUUAAAAUCAAGAUUCACUUGCACGUUCACUCAUACAUGCUGCUUCUACUCCGGAAGUACGCAUCCACAUACAUCCACUCCUUUCCAUCUCCAGAUUCACCCAAAAUUAUUCUACUCCUAUCCAGGAGAGAAUAGCUAAAAAUAUUAUCCUAUUCUUGUUAUUCCCCGUGAAAUAAAUGCUCUUGAUAUUUUGGUUACUACCAUUUGCUACAUUAUUCUAGGAGUGUGAGUGCUCGGAAAAAAAAUGAGGAAAUAAAAUGGGGCAAGUGCUCGGAACCUCGAAGAAAAGAAAAAGUGAGACGAGAGGUAAAAAUGGACAAGUGUCCGACAGUAGAAUUAGGGGUACAAGAUACCCACCUAAGAGAUAAUAAAUAUAUAUAUAUAUAGAGCAUCUCAUUUCCUUCAAAAACCUUCAAAGUGCAAGAAAGAUAUGUAUCCCCCCAAAAGAGCAAAAGUAGAAUUAGACUUUCACCAAUGUUUUCACAAUUAUCACCAUCAUCACCAUACACCAUUCAUUCGCCACGCAUGCACAUCUUGAUUUGACUUAUUGACUUGUUUCUCUGGAUCCAUGGUUUGACUAUGCAAUAAAUGUUUUGUAAGUAUGUAUUAGCUGUCUCCCACCUAUGAGCUCCAGAUAUCAAAACCUUAUUAGAGUAGGGUGAGAGAGAAGGCAAUAUCAUUAUGCCUCAUACCAUAAAUACUACAUACUUUGAGAGAAGGCGUAUAUCAUCACUGCCUUGGCAAAGAUCCAGAAAUACCACAAAAGAGAGACUAGAGAGAGUCAUACAAAGAAUCUCUGAGUUUUUAUUGUGAAAAUCUACAAAAACUCCAGAGCUAUAGUUGAUCAAAGAACAAGAGACAUGGUGCUUGACUUGACCAUUCUAUCUUUUAACUGCUCAAGACACAAGUGACGGUUGCAAGCCCCAUGGUGGAAGGUAAUAUGAGUAAUUUUAAAUCUUAAUAGUUUACCGUAACCCAGAGAUGAGAUCUUGUUUGAACGCAUGUGUACCUUAAAGGCAUAAAACCACUGCAAAAAAAACUCUUGAGUCCAUCCUUGCUCAAGGACGAGCAAGAGAUAAGCUUGGGGGAGUUGUUGACGGUCCUUAAGUACCAAAUAUAAUCAUCAAAUAAAUAAAGAAAAGGAUCCAAAUGCAACCAACACCCGAACUUAGGGUUUUAUCUGACAGAAAUCCAUGAGUUUUGGUGUUUGUCUAUUUCUGCAGGGGGUUAUCAGGAAAUAUGGAGAGAAGGCCCACAUGUCGGGUUUACAUAGAGAUAUUAACGUGCCGCGCAAUUUUCUAUCAUCUAGAAGACUCCAGAAGCCACGGGAACAAAGCGAAAGCCGAGAGGGCUCAGGGAUAGGGCACCCGCCCAAUUCCUUAGGGCGCCCGCCCACCUAUUUCGGCCAAUCACGUUCAACUUCGCAGAUUAUGCUCCACCGACCUAAAGGAUCAAGAAUAACAGUUCAACCAAUGUCGGUUUGAUCCGACGGCCCAGAUUCACUUGAGGGGACUAUAUAACCAGACCCCCUGGCCCCUGGAGGAGGCACCCCUUGAUCAUUAUUCAUUAUUCAUAGACAGAGCAAAAGCUAGGGUUUAGAGAUGAGACCUCUCCUCUCUUCUCUAAACUAGAGUAGAUCUAGAUAGUAGCGAGAUGGAGAGCGAGGGAGGAUUGGAGGAGAGGCCGGCCUGUCGGUUCUUCCUCCGAUUGUACUUUGUCAUGAUCAAGCUCUGACCAAGCUUGCUCAUGAGAUGACUCUAGUAAUCUACUUCUAAUUCAUUAUGCAAUUACUAAUUAUGUAUGUUCUGGUUCACAGCUCUUUUGAGUACUUUAAUCUAUAGGACGCUAUACGUGAGAGUUGUAGUAUAGGUAUAAGCGUGGUGCUUAAACCUAGAUUACUUGUGGAUAUCCCCUGUCUAGCCGGAUCGUGUGGUAGGCCGUGUAGGUGACAGUUACGUUGGUCCCCUGUAGUCCACCUCUUGUUGGCAGGACGGGUAGGGUUUAUCAGCCUAUGGAUAAGCAUCCUUUGUAGUGUAUUCUUAUCACGUGGUUCGUCCCAGACAUAGACAUACCCCUUUGAAGUAGAGAAACCAUAGUUAUCGUCUCUAUUCUCCUACCAUCGCCCAUAUAAUAGAUUGCUCUACUCUCUAUUCCCAUAUUAUCACCUAUUGUUAUCUUACCUUUAAUAUUGUUCUUAUUCAAUUUUACCAUCUUUCAUAUUUACACCUAUCUAUCUAUCUUGGUUAAGUUAGAGCGUAGUUGGUUCUCCCGUUUCCCUGUGGAUACGAUAAAACCUUUAACCGGGUAAAAGCUACAGCGGUAUCCGUGCGCUUGCGGAUUUAUCUGUGUGCGUAUAAAUACCAUAGUACACUAUAGUGCCAUGUUGGUGAUGACAACCUAGUAUUCAAGUGGUGUUAGCAAGUGUCAACAGCUGUCACUAUCACGAACUACCCCGCGAUCUGGCAUAUUGGGUACAAUCGCAGAUAAAUACGGUAUAAGCACCACGCCUACACAAUAUCUAUCAUUUACCCAUGGAUUCGAUGGAUAAACGCUAUACAAUCCUAAACAUGUAUAUAGAUCCAAUCUAACUAAGCCAAGUAUAUAACUAUGAUAAACUAAGAACAAUAUAAUCUUGAAUAUAAACAAGUAGAGCAAAGUCAUAAGCAAUAUAUUGAAUUAGAACAAAGUCAUAUUCAUAAUAUUGAAGAACAUAGAUGAACAAUUAGAAGAACAAUUAGAGAAUUACCAAGAAUCCUCUUGACAGAUCCGGAAACCAAUCGAAGAUUGACUCCUUCUAGUUCUAAUCCUAUGUAGCUAUGCUAAUCUAGAUGUCUAAUUGAUGUGGUGGCUCUAGGCUUGAUUAGAGGCCUCUUCUCCCUUGAGGAAUAAUGAAUUAAGGUUGAGAGGCUCUCUCCUCCAGGGGCCAGGGGGUCUGGUUUUAUAGUCCUUCCAAGUGAAUAUGGGCUGUUGGAUCAAACCGACAUUCAUUGAACGGUUAUCCUUGAUCCUUUAGGUCGGUGGAGCGUAAUCCCGAAAGAGAGUUCUGAUUGGACUCUAUAGGGGGCGAGCGCCCUGGUCUCCUGGGCGGGCGCCCAGGGCUAGGCCACGUUUCGCCUCCGCUUCGUUCCCGUGGCUUCUGGAGUCUUCCACAUGUAAGAUAAUUGCGCGGCACGUCGAUAUCUCUAUGUAAUCCCAACAUGUGGGCCUUUCUUCCAUAUUUCCUGAUAACCCCGUGUAGAAAUAGACAAACACCAAAACUCGUGCAAUUCUGUCAGAUAAAACCCUAAGUUUGGAUGUUGAUUUCAUUUGGAUCCUUUUCUUUGUUUAUUUGAUAAUUAAAUUUGAUACAUAAGGACCGUCAACAAACUCCCCCAAGCUUACCUCUUGCUCGUCCCUGAGCAUGGAUAAUCUCAGCGAUGGAUCAGAAGUUGUUGCAAUACCUUUAAAAGUUGACGGUACACAUGCUUCUAAAUAAGGUCUCAUCUCUGAGUUAGAGUAAACUGUCAAGACUUAAAACUUACUUACUUUAACUUUCACCAUGGGACUUGUAACCAUCUCUUCUGUCUUGAGUAGUUAAAAGAUGGAACGGUCUAGUCAAGUGCCAUGUCUCUUAUUCUUGAUCAGCUAUAGCUCUGAAGUUUUUGCAGAUUUUCAAAUAAAACUCAGAGAUUCCUUGUAUGACUCUCUUAGAUCUCUCUUUUGUGGUAUUUCUAGAUCCUUACUAAGGCAGUGAUGGUAUAUGCCUUCUCUCAAAAAGUAUGUGGUAUUUGUGGUAUAAGGCAUAGUGACAUUGCCUUCUCUCUCACCCUACUCUAAUAAGGCUUUAAUAUCUGGAGCUCAUAGGUGGGAGAUAAAAUAUACAUACUCACAAGACAUGUAUUGUAUAGUCAACCCAUGGAUCCAAAGAAACAAAAUCAAUAAGUCAAAUCAAGAUGUGCAUGUGUGGCCAUUGAAUGGUAUAUGGUGAUGAUGGUGAUAACAAUGGUGAAAGUCUAAAUCUUUUGCUCUUUUGAGGGGAUACAUAUCUUCCUUGCUUUUUGAAACUUUGUGAGGAGAAUGAGAUGCUCUAUAUUUUUUUUUUCUUUCCUCUUAGGUAGGUAUCUUGUACCGCUAAUUCUACUGUCGGACACUUGUCCAUUUUUACCUCUCGUCUCACUUUUUCUUUUCUUUCGAGGUUCCGGGCACUUGCCCCUUUUUAUUUCCUCGUAUCUUUUUUUUAGAACACUCAUCUCAUGAAAUAAUAUAGCAAGUGGUAGUAACCAAGAUAACUUGAGCAUUUAUUUCACAGGGGAAAUUAGAAAUGUUUUUGGCUAUUCUCUCCCGGAUUAGGAGUAGAAUAUUUUUGGGUGGUUCUAGAGAUGGAAAUUGGUGGAUAUAUGUGGAUGGUACUUCCGGAGUAGAAGCAGCAUGUGUGAGUGAACGUGCAAGUGAAUCUUGAUUUAACCACAUGACAAGCUCCUAAGGGUCUACACAGCUUGACCACACUCAAUGCUCAUAAGUAGUAAAAGUAAAUGUGUGGCUCAUAGUCUAGCAAGCAUGUAUAUAUGGCUGUUGUAGGAAUUUAAACUCUCAUCAUACAGGAACUCAUCAUGCAAUAUUUUAAAAUUUUCAAAGAUAAAAUUCUUUAGAAUUCUAGAAUCUCUAGGAACAUAUAAACAGCAGCUCAACCUUCCCAUAUCAUAUCCGUUAACAACUUAGACUUCAGAUCAAGUUUUCUUCCCACAGGUUUAGGUUUAGAGCAAGCUUUCAAUUAUAACAGUUAUGUCUAAACUUGGGAGAGAACUUCAAAAUUUAAAAAUUAGGCAGAACAACUAUUCAUCAUAUCCAUGCUAGAGUUUUAUUAUUAAGAUUCAGUUUAGCAUACCCACUUUAUUUAUUUAUUAAACAAACUAGCAAAAGAUAUAUAUAUGCACAAAAUCUUUAUUUGGUUUUCCAUAGUUAUGUAUAUCUAUAUUUUAAUAUAAUAUAAGUAUAAAAAUUGAAAUACUUAGCGGGACAAAUGGGGGUGCUCUCCCACAAGCUGAAUUUUGACGUAAUUUCUUUUGAUGUAGCUAGCAGGUGGCAAAGGUGUAUUUGAAAGUCGGCAGUAUCUUGACAGCGAUUAGAAUGUCCUCUGUCUACUAGUCUUCUCGAUUCUUAAAUUCUGUGGAGCUCAAAUAGACAACAAAGCUUUGUGGAACUCUUGGCAAGGCGUUCGGUGUUUUUAAGUCCUCCGAAUGGGACUCUCCAUUUUCUAGUUGUCCUAGGAUUCGUUGGGUAGCGUAGUCGGUGCUUCCAGCAGCGCCUCCUCUUCAUGUAUGGUUAUCUUAUCUCUCCACACCUGACUUGGUGCUACGGUCUCCUCUAGAUAAUUCAGUUUAAACUGAAUGUCUUCUGACCUUACCACUUCUCCUUCAUAGUCUGCCCAUCCGUCCUUGAUAAUUUCCCUCCUGUGGUUGCGGUUGCGUCGUUUUCUUCUUGUCCUGACCUGCUUAGAGUCUUCAACGAUAUAGUUAGGGUGAGUAAAAUAGCGGCGUACCUUCUCUAAGGGGAAGUGCAUAUGGACUUCUCCGGUUCCAAUGUAGAUGAUUGCUUUAACGGUACUGAGGAACGGUCUUCCAAGGAUGACGGGUGGAUCGUAUUCGUCUUCUCCCAUGUUAAUAACCUGAAAGUCUGUGUAGACAAAAUGAUCGUCUAUUUUGACAGGGACAUCAGCUACUAUUCCUUUAACUUCUCGAAACGUCUGAUCUGCCAUCUGGAGCUGAAUGUAUGUUGGUUUUAGGGGCAUGGUUCCGAACAAGAGCCGAUAGGUGACUGCGGCCAUUAUGUUGACGCCCGAUCCGGUGUCGCAAGUCGUCUUGAAGAAGUUGUAUCCAUUUAUGGAGCAAUAGAUGCUUGGCAUUCUUAGGUCAUCCUUCUUGGUCAAAAACGGUGACUUAAGUCGAUGAUCUUGACCUCCUUGAACUGCAGUGACCAUCUUAGCUGAUUCGGUCCACACUUGCUUGUUCCUCUUCCUCCUGUUGGUCCUCUUCCUUGAUUCACGUCUGGAUUGAUCUGGGAUUUGUGUAGUCUUGUUCUUGAAGGAAAACGUCUCCUUCUUCCCUUUGAUGUAGAAACUGAUCUUGGCAGCACUAGCGUAGAUGACAGCUGCGGAGGUGUUUAAGAAUGGCAUCCCUAAGAUGAUGGGUGCCCUCUCAUCAUUACCGGUCUCUAUCACCACGAAGUCUGCUGGGGCAUAUAAGGUACCAACUCGGACACAAAGGUUCUUCAAUAUUCCUUUUGGAAAACUUAUCGUCUGAUUUGCAAACUGCAAACACAUGGUUGUGUCUUAUAAAGGAUAUGUAAAGAAUUUUUCAUAGAUUACCCUGGGCAUAAUGUUGAGACUAGAGCCAAAGUCGCAGAGUGCUUCCGGGAAGUCCACCAUGCCGAUGGAGAUCGGGAUGACGGGGCGUCUUGGAUCGCCUCUCUUGACCGACAGAAGGUCAGUAGUAACUUCAGUGACGGGGUUACUUCAGUAGUUACCUGCAUCAAACAUGUCUACAAGAUUUGCAGAUUCUAAUCCUUCUAGUUGUGAUGGUAUACCGGGGUUAGAAGCAGGAACAGGAGCAGCUAUUUGAUUUAAUUGAGAUUCAAUCGUUUUAUUAAAGCUAAUUUGAUUCUUGAUGGCACUAGAGAAGUUAUCCAUUCUAUUGUUUAUAUUUUCUAGCAUUUUAUCAUUAGAUGCCAAUUUCUCAGAUAGGUUAUGCAUUAGCUUUCCUUGAUUAGACACUAACUCUCUCAAAAUUGGAAAAUUAUUAUUAUUGUUGCAAUAAUUAUUACCUUGAUAAUUACCUGAGUUGUUAGGCCUUUGUUGAUUCCAACCUUGAUUUUGUUGAGGACGGUUGUAGUAGUUGUUGUUGUUAUUGUUGAUGUAGUUCACAUCCUCAAGUAUCUCAUGGCAGUGAUUGCCUGAGUGUCCAGUAUCUCCACACUCCUCACAAGUCAUGUGAGAGUCGUAGAUGUGCAUAACUUCUUUCUUAUCUCCAGCUCUAUCAUCGAACUUCUUCAUGAGCAGGUCUAGCUUUGCAAACAGCAUGUCUACCUCCUUGAGCUGAUGCAUACCUCCACCUCUCUUGCAUGUUUGGGUCCUCUCUUCAUUCCAGCUUUGGUUGGACACCAUCUUCUGCACAAGAGCUGCGGCUUGUGAUAUGGUAAGUGAUAGGAAUGCUUCUCCAGCUACAGCAUCCAUGGUUUCUCGGGCACUGUUGCCGAGCCCAUGAUAAAACGUCUGCAUCAAUAGCCAACGCUCCCUUCCAUGAUGGGGACAUUCUAGGAUGUAGUCUUGGAAACGCUCCCAUGCUUCUGGAACACAUUCAUCAUGUUGUUGCCCACGAAGAGCAUUGGUCUUGCCCAUGGGAAAGAAUUUAGCCAGAAAGUUCGUGGAGCAGAGUGCCCACGUAGUAUUCUUCUCCUUUGUAGCGUAAAACCACUGCUUCGCUCUUCCUAAUAGUGUUGGAGAUGAGCACUAGAAAUGCUUGUUGAUAUUUGGGAACGCAAUAAGGAAUUGAUCCGCAAGCGCACGGAUAUCGGUGAGCACUUCACCUGGGAAAUUAUCCAGAGUAUCGUAUUUAUUUUUUUACCACUAGGAGAAAGAGUGCAUCUGACUAACCGGUCUAUUACUACUAACCCUUUAGGCUACAAAGAAUGUCUCUUGAUGUGAGUGAUAAAUAGAGAAGACUGCAACCGUAGUCUUCUUCUAACCUUGGUAAGGAUGAUCUACUGUUCUAUUGGGGAGGCUAACGGAAUCUAGACACCACAAAGGAUGUUCAACCCGCACCUAUUGUAACACCCCAGUGUUAUGGUUGCAUCAAGCAUGUGCAUAGCAUGAGCAUCAUCAUUUACUCAAAGCAUAUCAUGAUCAUCAUCUAUCUUGAGCCAUGUCAUUCUAUGCAAAAAUGUGUUUUAAAUUGAUUAAAUAGGCUUCCUAUGCUUAUGUUUGAGUGAACAAUGCUUGUGUUUGUGCUUAAUGCCUUGGUAAUUAGUUUAUCUAUGCUUAACUUGAUCUUGGGAACAAUGUUCAUGUUGGUCACUUUUCCAAAAUAUGCUUCUAAGUCAUACUUAUGAAAAUAGGCCCUAGAAACCUCUUUUGCUUAGGCUUUUAAAAAGUGUUUCAUAAAAUGUUUGCAUGUCAAAACUUUCUACAGCAAAGUUGUAGCAAAUUUUAUAGGGAACAAAAGUUGUUUUAUGGCCAUCUCAUGAAAAUGAACACAAAUAGCUCAAAAGUGGUCCACAAGGCAGAUUUGGGGCUGUUUUCAACACUUAUAAAAUGUUUGCAUGUCAAAACUUUCUACAACAAAGUUGUCCACAAGUCCUGGGUGCUUUGCAGUUUGCUCGAUCGGUUUUGUAAACUCUAUAUCUUUCAAUCCAGGCCGAUCUGGCCUUUGCUCUAGUUGACAAAGUUGUAGAUCUCGCCUAGUACUCCAAGUUUGUCAACUACGCCAUCGCCUAAUUCGCUCUGGUUUGGGAGAUAAUCGCCGGUGAAGUGGCUCUAUCAGACGAGCACCCUUUCUUCUGAAUCGGGCCUGACCUCGUCGACGUGGCCGACCGCCGGCAGAGCUCCGUCGCCAUUUGUCGCCCGUACGCCGCGUUUGGCCCCGCUUGUCAGCUUCCGUCGCGUGCAUGACCUCCACGGCGACGCCCCGAGCGAGUGGACGCGUCCACUUCGCUCUGCCUCGCCCUCUCUCGCCUGAACCACGUCCGCAGCGAGCUCUCCGCCGCGAGCUCACUCCGGCGAGCUCGUGUGCGCUCCUCUCUGCGUCUCCAUCCACCAAACUCCACCCAAAGCUCCGUCGUGAGCCGCUCUCCAAGCUCCACCCUCUAACUCGCCGAGAAACCCACCGGUGAGCCGACAUUCCCUUCUUCCCCCAAAUCGGUCCACCGUGACCUUCUUCUCUGGCGAACUCAAUGCCGAGCGCUGUGAGGCUUCUCAUCAUCUUUGGUUAGGUCCUAGAGGUAGCUUAGGUUCUUAGCGAGCUUUUGCGCCACCUGGUGGACGCUCUACCGGGUUCUCCGUCGCCGGACACGGUGCGCAGCGCCGCCGUGUUUCCGCCGGAGUUGGGUGCUCUCGUGGCCAGCGCGUUCCACGGGGAUCCAGGCCAAGCCGCGUACCUAGGAAGCUUCGCCGUAGUCCGUUGGUGCUGUAGAAGGCCUUAGGUCGCGCUCUACCGACCUGAGGGCUCUGGCGUAACGCCGGGCACCUCCGCCGAGCCGCCAUUGCCGACGGUGAGCCCCUUCCGGUGGCUCCGCCGUGGCAUAAGUGGGGUCAAUCGAGUCGUUAGGGUUCGGGGAUCACGUUGAUGCCCUGGGUUUGGCCGGAGACCUCGCCGUCGCGGAGAAAUCGCCGGCGAAGAUCGCCUCGGCCGUGAGGAAGAAGAGCCUGACAGAUGGGACCCAUUGUCAGCGACUCUCUCUUUCCCUCCUUUUCUUUUAUUCAAAAUCCUGAUUUUUGGCUUUCUUGCAAAAAUCAUAUCUCCUGUUUCUGAGAUCCAAAAAUUGUGAAACAAAUUUUGUGUUGUUUCUUGAGAUGGCUACUAUUUAAUAAAAAUAUAAAAUGAAUCAUGUUUUCUGAGAAAUUAUUUAUUAAGGAUUUAAUCUUAUUAUUCUUGGAUAAAUGCAUAUCUCUGGUUAUACUGCUUAGUUUGCUUUGAAAAUUUUAUGGUGGUCUCUGCAUGGCAUUGGAGUGCUCUGAUAAUUAUUUCAUGAUUUUAGGAGCACUGUUGUUGUGAUAUGUAAUUUGUGUUUGAAAUAUGGCUUGUUUCUUUAAUUAAAUCACAUAAAAUAAUUGGUGUUUAUGCUGGUGCUCUAUUUUGGUGGUAAACUUGUUUAUGGUAUUCCUAAGAUGUAAAUAAUCUGAAAUCUGUUGUUUGACACUAUAUAAGUCAUGUUUAUGAAUUUAUGAAAUAAAUGCCUUGAUACUUGUUAAAUGCAUAUCUUUAAUUUGGCAUGUGCAUUGGUCCUGGAAUUUUUAUGGUGGUGAUCUGAUGUUAUACUUGUGCCUCUGUAAUUUUUGUAGAUUUUUCUGAGCACUUUAACUAAUAUCUUGUAAAUAUGCCUUAUCUAAAGUUAAUUAAUAAAUGCCUUGUUAAGUAAUUGUUUUGGGGUUUUCAACUGAUGAUCUGGUGACCUUGUAAUAUGUUUGUGCUCACGAGUCAUAUGGUUGGCAUGGUUUGUGUUUUGAUCAUGUCAUUAAAUAAUUAACUAUAGGGUUAAAUGCUGUUCUGGACAGCAAGUGAGCAAUUUAACUUUGCUUAAUGAUAACUUGACUUUCUGUGAAACUUGUCUAAAUCAAAGUUGUUCUAAAUUUAUAGAGCCAGCUGUGGUUUAAAUUUGAAGUCAUUUGGCCAAGUAGUUUAAAAGUUAUAGAUGUUCCAAGUUGGGUUCCAGAAAUAGGUGUUCUCUGUUUUUCUGGGACAGAACCUGGAACUUUGUUUAAAUGACCAGUUUCAUGUAUGAAUCUUGCUGUCAUGUUUAAAGAUUAAUUGUAGACAAUUUCAUAAGCUUUCCAGAAUGUCCUUACUCAUGUUUGUUGGACCUGUCUAUCUAUAAUUAUGAUUUAUUUACUGAGCAUACUUGUUUUGUGUCGUUUGCUGCUUUAGUGUCAUGAUAGGUUUUGGGUUAUGUUAACUUGUUUAUUCAUGUGAGUUAGUAUAACUCUUGCUCCGUAAAUGAGUGUCCAGUGAGUUGCUUGUGUUAUUAAGCAUUCAUCUGUAGCAUGUGCACCUUCUCAUUCAUCGAGCAUGCAAUAGGUGCACCGGACGUGGCAGUUUUCUUCGAGCUCCAAGCGAAUCCCGAAGGUCAGGAGGGCAGCCAGGAGGUGGAGGUCCAGCAAGCCGGCCUCGAGGAGACCGAAGAAGAAGUUGAGUGCCCGAAUCACGAGCCGGCAUCGUUCAUGAAAGGCAAGCCCCGGAGCAUUCUAAGUCUCCCCUUAUUUUCGAAAAGUUUACUUAAUACGUUAUAUCUAUUGAUGCAUUACGUAUAGGAGUUGUGAUGAAACUGUUGCUGCAUUCUACUCUAUCCUUGUCCAGAAACUCACCCUCCCUGGUUGUAGAGUUAGGUUCGAGUAGCAGCUUAGCUAUGCUUUAAUCGGUAGAAGUCGGGUGAUAUUCUGUCAUCCGCGCGAUAUAGGGUUGUGUCGGGUCACGAUGGUCUAUAUGUGCUAUCGUGGAUGGAACCUGGUUAAAUUGACUUAAGCCGGGCGGAGUUUUGCAAGUGUGUAGUAACUCCGUCUGUGGCAGCUAAGGACCGAUCGUUGUACGUCCUCUUGUCAUGUUGAACGCAUGCCUGACACUUAGUUGGCCGGAUAACUCGUUCCGACCGUGAAGCCGAGUAGUAUGACUCCGGCCGGAAGACCGGCAAGUAUAAAGUGCGCACUACCGGAGGAAGUGCGGUGUGCGGGGGACCAUUGGCGUAAGUCCAAAGGCAGGUGAGUUAAAAUUCCUGACCUCCCUGGCAGAGUGGUAGCCCUGGGAGUGCGGCGCUGAUCGGAGCCGCGAUUCCUGAGUCGUACCAAAGGUGACCCUUUGGCUCUCCGGCAGGGGAUGCCUGGGUGAGUGCUAGGAAUAACCCUCCAGCUGGAUAGGAAUUCGAUUCGAAUCGCCGUCUCUCCCGGUUAGUGAGAACUUGACAGAGCAGCGGCAAACGUAGCAUUCACUAAUGAACUUGGUUCGUGAUAAUGAUGAUAGCAAGAAGAACAUAUGAUGAAUUUGAUAUGGUUAAUAUUGUUUGUAAUAAUCAAGUGAUGUGUUGUAGUACAGGUGCUAAUCUAGUGCUAGGCUGAUGAUAAAUAAAUAUGAUGCCCUUAAAAUAACUUAGUUGUAAGUUAAGCUUUUGGCAAAAGGUGAGUCAACCAGCUCCACUUAAGAUUUAGCCUUGCAUGAUCCUUGGUGUCUUUUGUGUUUUACUAGACGGGUAAGUCUAGCUGAGUACAUCCUCGUACUCAGGGUUUAUUCCCACCUGUUGCAGAUGAUAUCUUCUAUGACGGUUUCUGCAAGACCUGUCUCCAUCCCGCUGGGGAUGAGGACUAACCGUUGGGCAUGGUUCUCUACUCUUCUCGUCUAUGAUGCUUUUGGAAGGAUGACCUAGACUCUAGCAGUAACAAACUUGUGAACUGAACUUUGAACAGAUGUGUGUAACUAUUUUGCUUCCGCUACUUCAAACUUGGGUUGUAAUAACUUAAUGACUCCGAUGUGGUGCCGCUUCGUCGGCAAUGAAUGACUAUGUAACAAUCGUUGUGUUUAUGCUGAACUAUUACGAUCUUGGUUUGUUGCGAGUUGGUUUGAAGUCCUUCGUGAUUUCGAUUGACUACCGGGAUUAUAUGGGCUCAAGUUUAGAAACUUGAUUGUUUGACGAUCGUUUCUGCACUUGAACUCUUAUAAUUUGGUCGGUUCUGUGACAGCUGGUAUCGGAGCAAGUUCAGCAUUAUAAAUGCAGCGUUUGUGUAUUUAAAACAAAAGAGUUUUUAAAUAAAAUGGUGCUUAAUAAGUAAUCAAGUUAUGCCAGUGGUCGAAUCCUCCUUGCCCACAUAAGGACUCUAGGUGGCUAUUUAAGUACUGACUUGGGGGGGGUUUUUAUUUAUGCAUCUCCGGCAGUACUCAGGUAUGGAUGUGUGAUGACCGCACUAUGCUACCCUGUGGUCUAAUGGUGGAGGUAGCCUUCAUAUGUGAAUUAGCCACAUAUGUCGCUAGAUUUAAAUUAUGCAACGUUGCACCUACGCUCAGGUAAGUGGGAGCUGUGAGAGCAUGAUCGUCCAAACGGCGGUCUAGGGGAGUGUUCGCGGUGGUUUUCUGGAGCGGUUACAUGUCGAAACCAUGGAACCACGAAAGAAACUUAAUUGGGGAGUAUUUAAUUUCUCGGGUAGUUGUGGUGUCAUUGUUUGAGCAUGUUGGGCAUGCCCAAGCAAUGUGCACUUAGUUUACUGCUUUCUUGAGUGAUAUAUUGGGAACUGUUGGGCUGAAAUGAAGUUUUCUACAGGUACUCUAACAACGUACGUGUAAACCGAUAGUUACCGUAUCGAGAGACGAAUGUAUGCCACCGUAUAUCCGUUAGAAUAUUAAUUUUCUAAGUUUGUGAGGACGUACGGUUCGUGCAUGCAUCAUGUCGCAUUCAUACAUACAUUCUGUCUGCUCCUUCCCUUACAAUUUCGUCCCUUUUUAAAUAAAUAAAUGUUGCUUCAACUAAUCCUCUUUUACCAUGGUAUUCCCAUUCCUUUCCACAGAUGGACGCACCCGCCUCACCUCGUCCCAGUGACACUUUCCUGCACGAGUUUGGCACUCCUACCCUGCUCUGGAGAGUGUUACGGACUGUUGGGUAUACUGAGCCACCUCAGUACUCUUGGUGGGAGAUGGAGAGCACAGGAGGGAUCCAGUGGUUUGCUGUGGAGGGAGUUGUUCCUCCACAUGGGGACAAGCUUGCAUGGACAGGCUGGACUUGCAGCUCAGAUGGGCAGACUCCUUGGGAGGCAGCUCAGGUUGCAGCCCAGACUAUCCUGCUCGACAUCUGUCAGAGGUGUGGUGACGAGCUGACAGGAGGACCAGCGGCCUCCAUUCCUAGUGCUGACCCAGCAGCCGCGGAGUGGAAACAGGCUGAUGGUUGUGCUUUGGUUCGAGGCAGAGGAGAGAGAGCUGAGAGCUCUAGUCCUGCUAUGAGUGCUAUGAUGGCUGUACUCAAGCUGAUCAGUCAGCGAGAGGGCACCUAUGCACAGGUGAUGGUGGCUGUUCGCAGGGCCCAGGAGAUGCAGCGGAAGGCUGAAAAGCGUGCUCGCAAGUUUCGCAAGCAAGCUAGGCUCCUGGAGCAAGCUCAGAAGGACCACAAUGACUGGGAAGACAUUGCGGAGUAUCGGAGGCAGCAGUGGGUGAAAGCCAUCAGAGAGAGAGAUCAUAAGCAAGAUCAGAUGAGCCAGUUAGCUAGAGAGAAGGAGACCUUGCAGGAGCGCUUGGUGCAGCUCACCCGUGAGAGAGAUACUGCACUCCGCGUGUCGGAGAAUAGGCGCCAAGCAUGGGAGAUGCACCGAGUUCAGUCGCUUGAGCGGGAGAACUAUCUACAGGAUCAGAUUGAGGCUGGUCUUGUGGAGAUUCACCGUCUCAACAACUUGCUACACCCUAUUCCUCGCCCUAUCCCAGUGUAUCCAGAGGUGGGACCUCAGGUGAUUGUGGCCGAGGAUGAUGGUAUGGAGGUCGAUGGGCCAGCAGCGGCUGCACCACCUUUACACGAGGACGUGGAGGAUGAGGAGCUUGAGCCGGUUAGCGACGAGGAUGGAGAGGCGAACUUCGACGCUGACUCGGACGACGAGCCUGGAGUGUAGGGAGUAGUGAGUAGUUGCUGCAGGAUCUUUUGUUGUGUGCCAGUCGGUUGUGGUGCUUUUGUAACCAUGUUGUAAUCCGAAACUUUGACCUUGACUCAUGGCAUGUACUGUGAUGGCGUAAUAACUUCAUGGACCCUAUGUGCAGUCUUUAUGAUCGUUAUGUUAUGCCGAUGUUUUCCGUUGUGGUGCGUAUUGCGGAUAUCUAUGUCGUGUGUUGGAUUGGUGAUGUUGUUUUGUGGAGUUGAAUUAUUGUGCCUUUCUGUGAAGUUAUUCUCUCGAAUACUUUCAGGCAUGAGUAUAAGUUCUUCUACGGCAAAUCUUGUCAUCAUCAAUGCUCACUGACUGUGUCUUUACAGAUGUCUCGUGGCACCCGGGGUGCGGAACAGCGUGCAAACAUGAAUCCACCACCUCCUCCUCCACCACCAAAUCCAGCUGAGCUGAUGCAAAUGAUGGUGGAAAAUCAGAGGAUGCUCACUGAAACCAUCAAUCGUAUGGUAAAUCAGGGUGGCCGUAAUGCACAGGAAGGGCCAGCUCCUAACCAGUACAGUAGCUUCAAGGACUUCAUGGAUACGAAGCCCCCACCUUUCAGAGAAGCUGAAGAACCCCUUCAAGCUGAAGAGUGGCUGAAUACGGUGGAACAAAAGUUUCGCCUACUUCGUUUGACUGAAGGUUUGAAGGCGGAGUAUGCAGCUCACCAACUGCAAGGACCGGCAGGCAUCUGGUGGAAUCAGUACCGGGAAGCUCUACCGGCUGCCACGGUGAUUGAUUGGAAUCUUUUCCGUGAGGCUUUCAAAGGGCAUUUCAUUCCUCCGGGUGUUAUGGAGAUGAAGCACACCGAGUUCAUGCAGCUGACUCAGGGCAACAAGACUCUGAAGGAGUAUUUGCAUGCUUUCAAUCACUUGUCUAGGUAUGCUCCUGAGUUUGUGAACACGGAGAUGAAAAAGAUCGCUAGUUUCAAGCGGGGUUUGGGUCCCAAAUUGCUGAAGACUAUGGGCCGCACUAAGUGUGCAACUUUCAAUGAGUUUGUCAGUGAUGCUCUCACCCAAGAGAACUAUAACACUGUGUACACUGCGACCAAGACUCGCAAGAGGGCUUUUGAGGCCAGUGCUGGGUCAUCUCAGUCCAAGGCUCCCGUGGCAACUAAGCCACCAUUCCGUGCUCCAACCCCCAACCAGCGAUACCGCCCUCCGGUGAAGAAGAAUCAGGCAAAGACGGGUUUUCGCAAGGGGUACUCUAUUGCUCUUCCUAGGGGCAACACGGGUCCCAACUAUGCCAAGACUCCACCUGCCAACCGUCCGUGCUGGAACUGCAAUCAGACCGGGCAUUGGCAGAGCAACUGUCCUUACCCGCCAAAGAAGGGCAACCAGGGGAACGUCCGUCAGGGGCGUGUUCAUUACACAACUGUGGAGGCAAUCCCUGCUGGUGAGGUAGUCACGGUUGGUAAGUUUCUGGUCAAUCAACUUGAUGCACUCGUGCUUUUUGAUUCUGGAGCAUCGCAUUCUUUUGUGAGUUCUGAAUUUGUAUCUAAGCAUAUCAUCAAGACCAUCACACUUGAUAAGGGCAGUUAUUGUAUUAGUGCUGCGGGAAAUGAUAUUUCCACCAAUCAAGUGGUUUUGGGGGCAACUCUGGAGAUAGGAGGCCGUCAGUUUCUUGCUGAUCUGGUUGUUCUACCCGGUGUGGGCAUAGAUGUAAUUCUGGGGAUGAAGUGGAUGAGUGGUAAUGGAGUUCUUAUAGACACCACCACUCGUGUAGUGAUGUUGAAAGACCCAAAUACCAAGGAGGCAUUUCUAGUGCAACUCCCUCGUGAUAUUCAAAUCCGUAGCACUGUGAAUGCAGUUACAUCUAAGGCUAUUCAGGAUAUUCCGGUGGUGUGUGAGUUUCCGGACGUAUUUCCUGAUGAUUUGCCCGGGCUUCCUCCGGAUCGGGAUGUGGAGUUCAAAAUUGAAUUGAUUCCAGGCACCGCUCCUAUCUCUAGAAGACCUUAUAGGAUGCCGCCCAAUGAAUUAGCUGAGCUUAAGACCCAACUAAAUGAGUUGUUGCAGAAGGGUCUUAUUCGUCCUAGUUCAUCUCCUUGGGGUUGUCCGGCUAUCUUUGUGAAGAAGAAGGAUCAAUCUUUGCGCAUGUGUGUGGACUAUCGUCCCCUAAAUGCGGUGACUAUCAAGAACAAAUACCCUCUUCCUCGCAUUGAUAUCUUGUUUGAUCAGUUGUCUAAAGCUAAGGUAUUCUCCAAGAUUGAUUUGCGAUCUGGGUACCAUCAGAUCAAGAUCCGUCCCGAAGAUAUACCUAAGACGGCUUUCUCGACGAGGUAUGGGUUGUAUGAGUACCUUGUCAUGUCCUUCGGGCUUACGAAUGCACCUGCUCAUUUCAUGUAUCUUAUGAAUUCAGUGUUCAUGCCCGAAUUGGACAAGUUUGUAGUGGUCUUCAUUGAUGAUAUCUUGGUAUAUUCUUGCAAUGAAGAGGAGCAUGCAGAGCAUCUGCGUGUAGUGUUGUCGCGUUUGCGUGAACAUCAGCUUUAUGCUAAGUUUAGCAAAUGCGAGUUUUGGCUAAAGAAAAGUACCUUUCUUGGGCCAUGUCUUAUCUGAAGAAGGCAUAUCGGUGGAUCCGGCUAAGGUGCAAGAGGUGCUGGAUUGGAAAGUUCCAACUUCGGUACACGAGGUUCGGAGUUUUCUCGGUCUGGCUGGGUAUUACCGUCGAUUUAUUCCGGAGUUCUCCAAAAUAUCCAAGCCUAUGACUCGUCUACUUCAGAAAGAUGAAAAGUUUGUGUGGACACCUGAGUGUGAGGAGGCAUUCCACAAGUUGAGGACACUGUUGACAUCAGCUCCUGUCCUAGCUCAACCUGAUAUCGAGAAGCCUUUCGAUGUCUUUUGUGACGCAUCAGGCAUUGGUUUAGGCUGUGUGUUGAUGCAGGAAGGUCGCGUUAUCGCGUAUGCCUCGCGCCAACUUCGAAAGCAUGAGGUCAAUUACCCCACUCAUGACUUAGAAUUGGCAGCAGUUGUUCAUGCUUUGAAAAUCUGGAGGCAUUAUCUGCUGGGUAAUCUGUGUAAUAUCUACACCGAUCAUAAGAGCCUCAAGUAUAUCUUCACUCAACCUGAACUGAACAUGCGGCAGCGAAGGUGACUUGAGUUGAUUAAAGACUAUAAUCUCCAAGUGCACUAUCAUUCGGGCAAGGCAAACGUGGUGGCGGAUGCCUUGAGUCGGAAAGCGCACUGUCACUCAAUCCAAGUGGAAGAUCCGUUGUUGUCACAUCUUAUGCAUCCGCUUGUGCUCAACCAGAUUUCUCUGGAAAGUACCAUUCGCAAUCGAGUCAUCGAACUGCAGCGGACAGAUGUAGGCAUCCACCAUAUCAAGAGGAAGAUGAAGGAAGAAGAAACCAAGCAUUUCCGGGUUGAUGAAAACGGAAUCCUUUGGUUCAAGGAUCGACUUGUGGUCCCAAAAGACCGCGAGCUGCGAAAUCAGAUCCUAUCUGAAGCUCAUUCAUCCAAAAUGUCUAUCCAUCCUGGUAGUAGCAAGAUGUAUCAGGAUCUGAAACCUUUGUUUUGGUGGACAAAGAUGAAAAAGGAGAUAGCUGCUUUUGUCGCUCGUUGUGACAAUUGUUGUCGCGUGAAGGCUGUUCACAUGAAAGCUGGUUUGCUUCAACCCUUGCCAAUUCCUGGUUGGAAAUGGGAAGAAGUCAGCAUGGAUUUCAUCAGUGGACUCCCAACUUCUGUUAAGGGUUAUGACUCUAUCUGGGUGGUUGUAGAUCGUUUGACCAAGGUUGCUCGAUUUAUUCCAGUCCGAACUGAUUAUCGUCCCCAUCAGUAUGCGGAGUUGUAUUUCGAGCACAUUGUUCGUCAGUAUGGUGUGCCUCGAACAAUCAUAUCUGAUCGUGGACCGCAGUUCACUGCUCGUUUUUGGGAAUGUCUGCAUGAGCAAAUGGGUACUCAUUUGGUCCGCAGCUCUGCUUAUCAUCCCCAAACAGCAGGUCAAACUGAACGAGUUAACCAGAUCCUUGAAGAUAUGUUGAGGGCAUGUGCUCUCUCAUCAAAAGGUUCUUGGGUUAAGUGGUUGCCAUUAGCUGAGUUCUCCUACAACAAUAGUUAUCAGGAGAGUAUCAAGAUGGCUCCAUUUGAAGCCUUGUACGGUCGAAAGUGUCGAACCCCGUUGAAUUGGGUAGAAGCUGGAGAGCGAAGAUACUACGGCAUCGAUUUCGUGAACGAAGCAAAGCAGAAAGUCCGUGUUAUCCAGCAACACCUGGAAGCUGCUCAAGCUCAUCAGAAAAGUUAUGCCGACAAGAGAAGGAAGCCGAUUGAGUAUUCAGUUGGUGACCAUGUGUACAUCAAGGUGUCUCCGAUGAAGGGUGUACAAAGGUUCGGAGUCAAGCGAAAGCUUGCACCUCGCUAUGUGGGACCUUAUCGGAUUCUCGAAAAGAAAGGGAAUGUGGCAUACAAAGUUCAACUCCCAGUUGCGCUUCGGGCCAUUUUUCCUGUCUUCCACGUAUCGCAAUUGAAGAAGUGCCUUCGUGUACCGGAGGAACGAGUGGAAAUUCGAGAUAUCAAGUUGAAGUCAGACUUGGUGUAUGAGGAGAAACCCAUAGCGAUUCUUGAUCGCAAGGAACGGGAAACGCAUAAUCGUGUGGUUAAGCUCUACAAAGUGUUGUGGAGUAACCACGGGGAAGAAGAUGCCACUUGGGAGACGGAGGAUUAUUUGAAAGAAGUUUACAAAACCUUCUUCGAAAAUCAGUAAGCUUUCAAAUCUCGGGACGAGAUUUUUGUAAGGGGGGAGGGCUGUAACACCCCAGUGUUAUGGUUGCAUCAAGCAUGUGCAUAGCAUGAGCAUCAUCAUUUACUCAAAGCAUAUCAUGAUCAUCAUCUAUCUUGAGCCAUGUCAUUCUAUGCAAAAAUGUGUUUUAAAUUGAUUAAAUAGGCUUCCUAUGCUUAUGUUUGAGUGAACAAUGCUUGUGUUUGUGCUUAAUGCCUUGGUAAUUAGUUUAUCUAUGCUUAACUUGAUCUUGGGAACAAUGUUCAUGUUGGUCACUUUUCCAAAAUAUGCUUCUAAGUCAUACUUAUGAAAAUAGGCCCUAGAAACCUGUUUUGCUUAGGCUUUUAAAAAGUGUUUCAUAAAAUGUUUGCAUGUCACAACUUUCUACAGCAAAGUUGUAGCAAAUUUUAUAAGGAACAAAAGUUGUUUUAUGGCCAUCUCAUGAAAAUGAUCACAAAUAGCUCAAAAGUGGUCCACAAGGCAGAUUUGGGGCUGUUUUCAACACUUAGAAAAUUUUCUAAGUCCUGGGUGCUUUGCAGUUUGCUCGAUCGGUUUUGGAAACUCUAUAUCUUUCAAUCCAGGCCGAUCUGGCCUUUGCUCUAGUUGAAAAAGUUGUAGAUCUCGCCUAGUACUCCAAGUUUGUCAACUACGCCAUCGCCUAAUUCGCUCUGGUUUGGGAGAUAAUCGCCGGUGAAGUGGCUCUGUCAAACGAGCACCCUUUCUUCUGAAUCGGGCCUGACCUCGUCGACGUGGCCGACCGCCGGCAGAGCUCCGUCGCCAUUUGUCGCCCGUACGCCGCGUUUGGCCCCGCUUGUCAGCUUCCGUCGCGUGCAUGACCUCCACGGCGACGCCCCGAGCGAGUGGACGCGUCCACUUCGCUCUGCUUCGCCCUCUCUCGCCUGAACCUCGUCCGCAGCGAGCUCUCCGCCGCGAGCUCACUCCGGCGACCUCGUGUGCGCUCCUCUCUGCGUCUCCGUCCACCAAACUCCACCCAAAGCUCCGCCGUGAGCCGCUCUCCAAGCUCCACCCUCUAACUCGCCGAGAAACCCACCGGUGAGCCGACAUUCCCUUCUUCCCCCAAAUCGGUCCGCCGUGACCUUCUUCUCCGGCGAACUCAAUGCCGAGCGCUGUGAGGCUUCUCAUCAUCUUUGGUUAGGUCCUAGAGGUAGCUUAGGUCCUUAGCGAGCUUUUGCGCCACCUGGUGGACGCUCUACCGGGUUCUCCGUCGCCGGACACGGUGCGCAGCGCCGCCGUGUUUCCGCCGGAGUUGGGUGCUCUCGUGGCCAGCGCGUUCCACGGGGAUCCAGGCCAAGCCGCGUCCCUAGGAAGCUUCGCCGUAGUCCGUUGGUGCUGUAGAAGGCCUUAGGUCGCGCUCUACCGGCUUGAGGGCUCCGGCGUAACGCCGGGCACCUCCGCCGAGCCGCCAUUGCCGACGGUGAGCCCCUUCCGGUGGCUCCGCCGUGGCAAAAGUGGGGUCAAUCGAGUCGUUAGGGUUCGGGGAUCACGUUGAUGCCCUGGGUUUGGCCGGAGACCUCGCCGUCGCGGAGAAAUCGCCGGCGAAGAUCGCCUCGGCUGUGAGGAAGAAGAGCCUGACAGAUGGGACCCACUGUCAGCGACUCUCUCUUUCCCUCCUUUUCUUUUAUUCAAAAUCCUGAUUUUUGGCUUUCUUGCAAAAAUCAUAUCUCCUGUUUCUGAGAUCCAAAAAUUGUGAAACAAAUUUUGUGUUGUUUCUUGAGAUGGCUACUAUUUAAUAAAAAUAUAAAAUGAAUCAUGUUUUCUGAGAAAUUAUUUAUUAAGGAUUUAAUCUUAUUAUUCUUGGAUAAAUGCAUAUCUCUGGUUAUACUGCUUAGUUUGCUUUGAAAAUUUUAUGGUGGUCUCUGCAUGGCAUUGGAGUGCUCUGAUAAUUAUUUCAUGAUUUUUGGAGCACUGUUGUUGUGAUAUGUAAUUUGUGUUUGAAAUAUGGCUUGUUUCUUUAAUUAAAUCACAUAAAAUAAUUGGUGUUUAUGCUGGUGCUCUAUUUUGGUGGUAAACUUGUUUAUGGUAUUCCUAAGAUGUAAAUAAUCUGAAAUCUGUUGUUUGACACUAUAUAAGCCAUGUUUAUGAAUUUAUGAAAUAAAUGCCUUGAUACUUGUUAAAUGCAUAUCUUUAAUUUGGCAUGUGCAUUGGUCCUGGAAUUUUUAUGGUGGUGAUCUGAUGUUAUACUUGUGCCUCUGUAAUUUUUGUAGAUUUUUCUGAGCACUUUAACUAAUAUCUUGUAAAUAUGCCUUAUCUAAAGUUAAUUAAUAAAUGCCUUGUUAAGUAAUUGUUUUGGGGUUUUCAACUGAUGAUCUGGUGACCUUGUAAUAUGUUUGUGCUCACGAGUCUUAUGGUUGGCAUGGUUUGUGUUUUGAUCAUGUCAUUAAAUAAUUAACUAUAGGGUUAAAUGCUGUUCUGGACAGCAAGUGAGCAAUUUAACUUUGCUUAAUGAUAACUUGACUUUCUGUGAAACUUGUCUAAAUCAAAGUUGUUCUAAACUUAUAGAGCCAGCUGUGGUUUAAAUUUGAAGUCAUUUGGCCAAGUAGUUUAAAAGUUAUAGAUGUUCCAAGUUGGGUUCCAGAAAUAGGUGUUCUCUGUUUUUCUGGGACAGAACCUGGAACUUUGUUUAAAUGACCAGUUUCAUGUAUGAAUCUUGCUGUCAUGUUUAAAGAUUAAUUGUAGACAAUUUCAUAAGCUUUCCAGAAUGUCCUUACUCAUGUUUGUUGGACCUGUCUAUCUAUAAUUAUGAUUUAUUUACUGAGCAUACUUGUUUUGUGUCGUUUGCUGCUUUCGUGUCAUGAUAGGUUUUGGGUUAUGUUAACUUGUUUAUUCAUGUGAGUUAGUAUAACUCUUGCUCCGUAAAUGAGUGUCCAGUGAGUUGCUUGUGUUAUUAAGCAUUCAUCUGUAGCAUGUGCACCUUCUCAUUCAUCGAGCAUGCAAUAGGUGCACCGGACGUGGCAGUUUCCUUCGAGCUCCAAGCGAAUCCCGAAGGUCAGGAGGGCAGCCAGGAGGUGGAGGUCCAGCAAGCCGGACUCGAGGAGCCCGAAGAAGAAGUUGAGUGCCCGAAUCACGAGCCGGGAUCGUUCGUGAAAGGCAAGCCCCGGAGCAUUCUAAGUCUCCCCUUAUUUUCGAAAAGUUUACUUAAUACGUUAUAUUUAUUGAUGCAUUACGUAUAGGAGUUGUGAUGAAACUGUUGCUGCAUUCUACUCUAUCCUUGUCCAGAAACUCACCCUCCCUGGUUGUAGAGUUAGGUUCGAGUAGCAGCUUAGCUAUGCUUUAAUCGGUAGAAGUCGGGUGAUAUUCUGUCAUCCGCGCGAUAUAGGGUUGUGUCGGGUCACGAUGGUCUAUAUGUGCUAUCGUGGAUGGAACCUGGUUAAAUUGACUUAAGCCGGGCGGAGUUUUGCAAGUGUGUAGUAACUUCGUCGGUGGCAGCUAAGGACCGAUCGUUGUACGUCCUCUUGUCAUGUUGAACGCAUGCCUGACACUUAGUUGGCCGGAUAACUCGUUCCGACCGCGAAGCCGAGUAGUAUGACUCCGGCCGGAAGACCGGCAAGUAUAAAGUGCGCACUACCGGAGGAAGUGCGGUGUGCGGGGGACCAUUGGCGUAAGUCCAAAGGCAGGUGAGUUAAAAUUCCUGACCUCCCUGGCAGAGUGGUAGCCCUGGGAGUGCGGCGCUUAUCGGAGCCGCGAUUCCUGAGUCGUACCAAAGGUGACCCUUUGGCUCUCCGGCAGGGGAUGCCUGGGUGAGUGCUAGGAAUAACCCUCCAGCUGGAUAGGAAUUCGAUUCGAAUCGCCGUCUCUCCCGGUUAGUGAGAACUUGACAGAGCAGCGGCAAACGUAGCAUUCACUAAUGAACUUGGUUCGUGAUAAUGAUGAUAGCAAGAAGAACAUAUGAUGAAUUUGAUAUGGUUAAUAUUGUUUGUAAUAAUCAAGUGAUGUGUUGUAGUACAGGUGCUAAUCUAGUGGUAGGCUGAUGAUAAAUAAAUAUGAUGCCCUUAAAAUAACUUAGUUGUAAGUUAAGCUUUUGGCAAAAGGUGAGUCAACCAGCUCCACUUAAGAUUUAGCCUUGCAUGAUCCUUGGUGUCUUUUGUGUUUUACUAGACAGGUAAGUCUAGCUGAGUACAUCCUCGUACUCAGGGUUUAUUCCCACCUGUUGCAGAUGAUAUCUUCUAUGACGGUUUCUGCAAGACCUGUCUCCAUCCCGCUGGGGAUGAGGACUAACCGUUGGGCAUGGUUCUCUACUCUUCUCGUCUAUGAUGCUUUUGGAAGGAUGACCUAGACUCUGGCAGUAACAAACUUGUGAACUGAACUUUGAACAGAUGUGUGUAACUAUUUUGCUUCCGCUACUUCAAACUUGGGUUGUAAUAACUUAAUGACUCCGAUGUGGUGCCGCUUCGUCGGCAAUGAAUGACUAUGUAACAAUCGUUGUGUUUGUGCUGAACUAUUACGAUCUUGGUUUGUUGCGAGUUGGUUUGAAGUCCUUCGUGAUUUCGAUUGACUACCGGGAUUAUAUGGGCUCAAGUUUAGAAACUUGAUUGUUUGACGAUCGUUUCUGCACAUGAACUCUUAUAAUUUGGUCGGUUCUGUGACACCUAUAAACCCUAUCCUUCCUACUAACGAGAUAUGGUCUGCAAAGGUAACUCGGAAUUGUCACGUUCCUCACUACUACCACGGUCUAGCUAGUCAGGGAAUAUCUAUGAGUACCCCAGCCUAAACACCACGUUUACGCCAGCAAUGAUUACUCUAAACUCUACGCGAAGAGAUUAAAGUAAACUCAUAAACCAGAAGAACAAUAAAACAAGAACUUACUAGAAUUUAGAAGUCGAAAUACUGAAGAAUCCUAGGAGCAAGCUUCGGGUUAGGAGAACUUGAUCCCGUAGGUACAAGCUUGGAGUAGACACCGACAGGCCGGGCUUCCUCCAAUCUACACCUCCACUCUAUCUCUCUCAAUCUAGUAGAAACUAGAAGAUCUAUUUCUACUUUACAUUGGUUGCUAAGCCUAAAAAGAAAUAUUAUUUAGAGAAGAGGUUUUCCUUCGAGGGCACCGCUCAAUCUCUAUGAUAAUUUCUUGUCUUCUCUAGGGGCCAGGGGGGUCUCCUUAUAUAGUCCUCCUCCUCUAUGCGUUUUUGGGUCGGUAGGUGAGGUGGUACUACAUUAUCUUUGAUCCAUUAGGUCGGUGGAACAUCGUGUGCGAAGAGAGUCCCGAACGGGAUCCAGCAAGGGGCGGGCGCCCAGGUCACCUGGGCGGGCGCCCUGGGCCUGGUCCCUUUCGGCCUCUGCUUCGUUCUUGUGGCUUCUGGAGUCUUCUAGAUGAUAGAAAAUCGCGCGGUGCGUUGAUAUCUCUAUGUAAUCCUGACAUGUGGGCCUUUCUUCCUUAUUUCCUGAUAACCCCCUGCAGAAAUAGACAAACACCAAAACUCGUGGAAUUCUGUCAGAUCAAACCCUAAUUCUAGCUGUUGGUUGCAUAUUGGUCCUUUCUCUUGUUUAUCUGAUAAUUAAAAUUAAUACUUAAGAAUCGUCAACAAAUACCCCCAUACUUAGGCUUUUACUUGUCCUCGAGAAAAGGAUGGUUAAGAACAAUACUUGGGGUAAAACAUUCUAAAACAAUCUUUAUAUUUGUGGGGUAUUAGAGUCCACUGUGUACUGUAGUCAGGGAAGUAUAUGAUUAAGAGUAAAGAUCCUUUCUUCUCAAUCCUGUUACUUGGAGUUUUUGUAUAAUUUUGAAAGAAAGCUAGCAUACCUUUUUAUCCUCAUAGGUUCUCUCAGAUCACUCAUUAUCUUUUAUAUAUCUCACUGAGGCUGUUUUAAUUUGCAAAAAUUCUUAAGCAUAUUUACUUUGCAUUUAUUGCCUGAUCAAAACGGGAUCCGAGGACGGGAAUGUCAUACUCUUAGAUCAAAGACUUUGGAAAUUAAAACUUUGUCAACUCUUGCUGGCAUAUUGCUUAUUAGAGAGACCAUGGGCUAUCAUUUUCUCUUUUUCUCUCUCUUUUUUUUAAUGGAUACCGAGGUAUCCCUAAUUCUACUGUCGGACACUUGUCCAUUUUUCUGCGAGGUUGUCGAGCACUUGCUCCUUUUUAUUUCCUCGAAAUAUCUUUUAUUUUUGCAUAGCCCAUGCCUCUAAUGCAAUAAUACUUCGGAAGAGUGAAUCUUUCUGAAUAAAUGUCUUGAUCUUAGGAGUAUGAUAAAUCUCUCAACAAGGGCCUACUCAUUUUGAACAAACUCAAUACAGAGUAGAUAGCUUUUAUAAUCAUAAUUAAUAUUUUCAGUUUUAUCAGGCAUAUAAAACACUGAGGAUGGUAGCUAGAAUUUUGAAGAUUUUGAAAUAAAUUCUCCAAGCAACAAUGAUAUCAAGAAUAAGAAACUCAUACUUUACCAUUACAUAUUCCAUAUUGACUUAAGUAAUACAGUGUUUUAAAAAUGAUUUUCAAUAAUUGCAAGUUUUCAGGAAAUAUCACAGAUUGAGAUUAAUCAUGACUAGAAAUAUUUUAAUCUUUUUAAUGUAUCAUGUCGGAAACAGUAAUCUGCAUAAUCAAGAUAUGUGAAGUGUAAAGUAAAGUGUGCAGAGUGUGUACCUGAAUCGUGGAGUGGUGUAGUCGAAGUGUGUUUGGCGUGUUGAGGGAUCUCCCCCAUACUUGUUUUCUACUUUCUUGCACAAAAAUAAAGUAGAGACACACAAGACAUAAUAAUAGUAGUACUCUUUAUUAAUCUUGAGGCAUUUAUUACAAAAGACUAGUAGCAAACUGAUGAUAAUAGUAAACCUAAACCAAAUUUAAAGAUAAAUAACUAAGAUGCAUUGCCUCAAGGUCUAAUCUAGAUAACUUAGCGGCGCUCUAAUUCCUUAAUCUUCUUGUUGGCACUGGCAAGAUCAUGCCUAAGGCCUAGUAUAAUAGUGUUGUGGUUAGAGAGCUGCCUAGUGAGGGAAUUAAUCGAGGACUGGAGGUCUAUGAUAACUCUGUCUAGCCUGCGAACGUCCUCAUCAAUAUCGACUAUAGUCUUGCGACGCUUGGGAGGUGUCUCAAAAGCAUUGAGAGCGUGUUUCGGGGCUGCCUUUGGAGGGAUGAAACGGACUUUGGCUGCUCUAAUCCCUUCGAAGUAAGGCCUCUCCUCCUCCGUAGUGUAGCGAAUACUGCUGAUCUCGCCGCUCCGGUUGGUCUUGACUCCAACGACCCUCUCAUUGGGUCUAGGUGGAAGGAUCCUUGUGCCGGUUAGCACCUUGAUGGUGGUCUUCGUCUUGGAUGAUGAUCCCUUGAGGAGUAGGGGUUGUGGCGGUGCGGUGAGAACUGGUUGAGCAUGAUAGGAUUGGGUGGAGCUGCGUUGGCGUAAUGGCAUGCUUCUAGCUGUCGCUUUGUGUUGGCCGGGACGAGAGCACGGGCGUCGGGGUCUUCCUCAGGCUCCAUGUUGAGGUUGAAGGGAACGACUUCCCAAUCAUCGUGGAACUUCUCGGCCAUUGGAGCAGCAAGGAACUAAUCAAGAUCUAAUUGAAGAAGAAAAGAAGGCUUGAUGGUUUGGUGUUUGAAAACUGAUGUCAGGGGUCUGUUUAUAUAGGGGUCAAAAAGUGCCUCUAUGGGUUGUUCGGGUUGCUCCCGUCGAUGUGCUUGCGAAGCUUUCCAUCUGAGGGAUUAUUCAGAUUACCAUAAGUGCAUUUUCUAUAACAGAGAAAAUCAGGACCGAGGGGGAACAGGAGCUGGGCGCCCGCCCACCUGAUCUGGGCGCUCGCCCUGUCUCUGCCCCCUCUGUGGGUUCACUUCCUCGAGCGCGUUAUUAGAUGCAAAACUAUUUAGAAAAAUAUAUAUAUGACCCGAAAAUGUUAGAAUAAAAAGGUCGGGCUUCUAAUUCUCCAUGAGAAGGUGAAAAUGGACUACGUCUAUUUCUUCUAAUUCUUUAUUGGGCUCUAAAAAUAAUUUAAGACGUUGACCAUUUACCUUGAAUAACGUACCUUCGUCAUUUUGAAGUGUGAUAGCUCCGUGGGAUGAUGAAUUAAUUACCUUGAAUGGUCCUUCCCAUUUGCUCUGGAGUUUUCCAUGCUCGAAAAGCUUCACCCUGGAAUUAAAAAGCAAUACCUUAUCUCCGGGUGUGAACUCCUUCUUCUUGAUUCUCUUGUCAUGCCACCUUUUGACUCUUUCUUUGUAGAUCUUUGAAUUGUGAUAUGCCUUCUCUCGCCAUUCUUCCAAUUCUGAUAGUUGCAUUCUUCUAUAAUCUCCAGCAACAUCUAGGUCCAUAUUCCAUCUCUUUAUGGCCUAGUGUGCUUUGAACUCUAGUUCAACGGGUAGAUGGCAAGUCUUCCCCGUACACCAAUUGGUAUGGAGACAUUCCAAUUGGGGUCUUGUAUGCUGUCAGGUAUGCCCAGAGUUCAUCGGGUAACUUGUCUUUCCACGCCGUUCCCAUUUCAUUUACUGUCUUCUGAAGAAUAUUCUUGAUUUGUUUGUUCGAAGUCUCUGCUUGGCCACUUGUCUGCGGAUGAUAGAGGGUAGCGACGUUGUGACGGAUUCCAUGUUUUGAUAGAUAUUGCUUGAAGCGUUUGUCAAUGAAGUGUGCUCCUCCAUCACUUAUCACUACUCUGGGGACUCCAAAUCUUGGAAAUAUAAUUUCUUCAAACAUCCUCUUUGAACUGACGUUGUCGGCAUGCUUGCAAGGUAAUGCCUCUACCCACUUGGAGACACAGUCAACUGCCACCAAGAUGUACUCACACUUCUUUGAUGGAGGAAAUGGACCCAUGUAGUCUAUUCCCCAGACAUCAAAGAGCUCAAUCUGAAGGUUGUUGGUGAGUGGCAUUGCAUCCCUUGUAUUUAUGUUUCCGUGUCUUUGACAUGGCCCACAUCUUCUGAUAUAAUGCUUCGUAUCUUCAUACAUUGUAGGCCAGUAGAAUCCACACUGCCAGAUCUUUGAAUGUGCAGAAAGCUCCAUAGUGACCUCCAUAUGGUGAUGAAUGACAUGUGUCGAUGAUCUUCCAUCCUUCCUCAGUGGUCACACAUCUCCUAAGUAAGCCAUCAGAGCAUACUCGGAAGAGGUAUGGCUCAUCCCAUAUAUGUGAACAACUUUCUUGAAUAAGCUUCUUCUUGUUUGCUCCUAGUGGUACAUACCCUGAAAACAUAAAAUUAACAAUAUCUGCAUACCAGGGGUCAGACCUGUUAAUCCCGUAGAGCAUGUCGUCCCGGAGUGAAUCAUUGAUGGGGGUUUCCUGUGGACUCUUAAAAUACAUUCUAGACAAGUGAUCAGCAACAGAAUUUUCUACUCCUUUUUUAUCUUUUAUUUCUAAGUCAAAUUCUUGGAGUAAUAAGAUCCAUCUAAUCAGGCGAGGUUUAGCAUCUUUUUUAGUGAGGAAAUAUUUUAGUGCAGCAUGAUCAGUGUAAACAAUUAUUUUAGCUCCAACUAAAUAAGAUCUAAAUUUAUCAAUGGCAAAGACAACAGCUAGAAGCUCUUUUUCAGAUCACACAUAAUUUCAAAAGGCAACGACCAAUCAGGGGGUUGAAUGAUUGGUGCAGAGAUGAGUGCUUUCUUUAAUAAAUUAAAAGAUAUUAGACAUGCAUCAUCAAAUUCGAAAGGAGCAUCCUUGGCUAGCAAAAGUGUAAGUGGUCUAGCAAUGAAUGAGAAAUCUUUUAUAAAUCUACGAUAAAAACCAGCAUGGCCAAGAAAGCUUCGAAUUCCUUUUAUAUUCACAGGUGGAGGUAGUUGUUCAAUUACUUCAAUUUUAGCUUUGUCUACCUCAAUACCUCUUUCAGACACUAAGUGUCCCAGCACUAUUCCUUCUCUAACCAUAAAAUGACAUUUUUCCCAAUUAAGGACUAAGUGCUUUUCUUCACAUCUUUGCAAAACCUUGUCUAAGUUUUCAAGACAUCUAUCAAAAGUUUUUCCAUAAACAGAGAAAUCAUCCAUGAAAACUUCCAUAAUCUCUUCAAUCAUAUCAGAAAAUAUAGACAUCAUGCAUCUUUGAAAAGAAGCUGGUGCAUUACAUAACCCAAAAGACAUUCUACGGUAAGCAUAAGUUCCAUAUGGGCAUGUAAAAGUGGUUUUGCUUUGAUCAUCGGGAUGGAUCGGGAUCUGAUGAUACCCUGAAUAUCCAUCUAAAAAAUAGAAGAACGAAUGGUUCGCUAUCUGCUGUAGCAUCUCAUCUAUGAAAGGUAAAGGAAAGUGAUCCUUUCUCGUGGCUUUGUUUAGUUUUCUAUAGUCUAUGCACAUCCGCCAUCCUGUGACGGUGCGUUGCGGAAUUAGCUCGUUCUUUUCAUAUAAUCCCUGCACGCAGCAACUUUAUAACUUGAACUGGGCUUACCCACUCACUGUGUGGCACAGGAUAUAUAAUCCCUGCACGCAGCAACUUUAUAACUUCCUUUUUAACUACCUCUCUCAUAGUGUUAUUAAGUCUACGUUGGGGUUCACGAGAGGGUGAAACAGAAGGAUCUGUUGGAAUACGAUGGGUACAAAUCAUAGGACUGAUUCCUGUAAGAUCUUGGAGUGAGUAGCUGAAAACUGAGUGAUGUUUCUCAAGAAUGGUCAUUAAUCGCAAAGUUUGCUCCUGAGUGAGUUUAUUGCUAAUGAUCACAGGAAACUCUGGAUUAUUGUUUAGGAAAGCAUAGGUAAGACCAGGUGGUAAAGUUUUAAGCUCUAUGGGGGGUCUAGGUGUUUCUGCAAACUCAUCUAAAGGUUCAGGUUCAGAAGGUUUGGCUUCUUCUUCUAUGAAGAAAGGAGUUUCGUCUUCUAAGUCUGAUUCUUCUAAAACCUCUAGAGAUGCAGCCUUUUCCUCCUCCAUAGGAUCAGGCAAAAGAUAUGAUUCGGCCUUAUUGUUUAAGGAGUGUGAAAUUGUUAUUGGGAAUUUAAAGGCUUUUCCAAAAGAAAUGUGUAGCUUUCCAGUAUGACCUUCAUAAAGGAGUCUUCUGAAAGGUUGUCCUAUCAACAGGUCGAAGUCCCAUGUAUCAAAGAUAUAGAAGUUCAAAUGAACCAUGGAGCCUUCUACCGUAAGAGGUAGGACAUUAAUAAUUCCAAGACUGGGGACUAAUUGUCCCGAAGAUUCCUUUAUGACCUUUGUUGUGGGGGUUAAGACAAGAUUUUUAAAUAGUUUAAGUGCAAAAGAUUUAGACAUGAUGUUGAUCCCCACAACAGGAUUAUAAAGAGCAUUAAAUCGAUCAGAAUUAUAAGCACAGCGUAUAGUUAUAGAGGGUGUGUCCAAACAGAUCACAACAGAGGAAAGCUCUGAUUCCUCCAACCAUUCGCUACUCAUGAAUGAGAUAAGCUCUCUCAAUUGAUAUUCACUUGGCAAAUAAAUGCUAAACUGGCCGUUUUGGGGUUUGUCAAUAGAAUGGUAGUUUGAAAUGUUUCCAAAAUCGGCAAAAAGAUCGGAUUCUAUAUCCAGCAUGAAGUCCGGUGGUGCAAUUUCUUCCUCUUCUGGCUCAGAACUUGGGAUAGCUAAAGUAGAUGAAGAAUUUGGCAGAGUGUCUACUUCGGCUUCGUAGGUUUCAUCAUGAAGGGUAUUAUCCAUCUCAGCUUCUAGGAUUCUAUCUAGGAUCACUCUAGCUUCAUCAGUAGGGAUGCGAAAGAAAGAACCUCUAGACAUUGUGUGUAGCAUUUGUUUGUGAUUUUUCUGAAGACCUCAAAAAAAGUGAAAUAAAAGAAUAGGGUCUUCAAGAUUAAGGUUUGUACCAGAUUCUAAAAGAUCAGAAAAAUGUUUCUAGGAUUUUCCCAAAGUUUCAUUAUCUUUUCGUUUAAAAGAUAGGACUUUGAGUCUAAGGUCGGCUAUACGGUCGAGGGAAUAGAAAUCUAGACAAAAGUUGGCUCGUAAAACUCCCCAUUCACCUCGUUGUUGACUUACCUUCUGACUAUACCAUUGUCUAGCUUCUCCCCUUAGGGAAAAAGGAAAAAGCUUCCAACGUAAAGUUUUAUCAGAAAUGCCUUCAAUGCGAAGACAAACACAUCUUUGCUCAAAAUCUCUAAUAUGAAGGUAUGGGUUUUCGUCUUCCUUUCCCGAAAAAGAUAGGUUUUGAAUCAUGGCAAUCAACCUAGAACUUAACUUAUACUGGGAUGUUUGGAUAGGCUGUGAUGACUCCCAUGGCAAAAGGUCAGUUACUGAAGGGAUUGAAGACUCAUGGAUUGAUUUAGAAUUUUGGUUUUCCAUAAGGUAAGAGUAAAGAAAAUAAAUAAAGAAUAUAAAAGAUAAGAAAAGAUAAAAGUAUAGAUACAAGCUAGUAGUAAGACUCAAGGUUAUCUCAGCAAACCGUCUUUCUCCCCGGCAACGGCGCCAGAAAUGCUUGUUGAUAUUUGGGAACGCAAUAAGGAAUUGAUCCGCAAGCACACGGAUAUCGGUGAGCACUUCACCCGGGAAAUUAUCCAGAGUAUCGUAUUUAUUUUUUACCACUAGGAGAAAGAGUGCAUCUGACUAACCGGUCUAUUACUACUAACCCUUUAGGCAACAAAGAAUGUCUCUCGAUGUGAGUGAUAAAUAGAGAAGACUGCAACCGUAGUCUUCUUCUAACCUUGGUAAGGAUGAUCUACUGUUCUAUUGGGGAGGCUAACGGAAUCUAGACACCCCAAAGGAUGUUCAACCUGCACCUAUAAACCCUAUCCUUCCUGCUAACGAGAUAUGGUCUGCAAAGGUAACUUGGAAUUGUCACGUUCCUCACUACUACCACGAUCUAGCUAGUAAGGGAAUAUCUAUGAGUACCCCAGCCUAAACACCACGUUUACGCCAGCAAUGAUUACUCUAAACUCUACGCGAAGAGAUUAAAGUAAACUCAUAAACCAGAAGAACAAUAAAACAAGAACUUACUAGAAUUUAGAAGUCGAAAUACUGAAGAAUCCUAGGAGCAAGCUUCGGGUUAGGAGAACUUGAUCCCGCAGCUACAAGCUUGGAGUAGACACCGACAGGCCGGGCUUCCUCCAAUCUACACCUCCACUCUAUCUCUCUCAAUCUAGUAGAAACUAGAAGAUCUAUUUCUACUUUACAUUGGUUGCUAAGCCUAAAAAGAAAUAUUAUUUAGAGAAGAGGUUUUCCUUCGAGGGCACUCCUCAAUCUCUAUGAUAAUUUAUUGUCUUCUCUAGUGGCCAGGGGGGUCUCCUUAUAUAGUCCUCCUCCUCUAUGCAUUUUUGGGUCGGUAGGCGAGGUGGUACUACAUUAUCUUUGAUCCAUUAGGUCGGUGGAACAUCGUGUGCGAAGAGAGUCCCGAACGGGAUCCAGCAGGGGGCGGGCGCCCUGGGCCUGGCCCCUUUCGGCCUUUGCUUCGUUCUCGUGGCUUCUGGAGUCUUCUAGAUGGUAGAAAAUCGCGCGGUGCGUUGAUAUCUCUAUGUAAUCCCGACAUGUGGGCCUUUCUUCCUUAUUUUCUGAUAACCCCCUGCAGAAAUAGACAAACACCAAAACUCGUGGAAUUCUAUCAGAUCAAACCCUAAUUCUAGGUGUUGGUUGCAUAUUGGUCCUUUCUCUUGUUUAUCUGAUAAUUAAAAUUGAUACUUAAGAACCGUCGACAGCAAUCAUCAAUAUUGAUUAUAGAAUGGAAUAUGAGACUGAGUAUCUAUCAUUGCAUGUAUAAUUGAGAACAUUUAUCUAACUCUUUCAUACAGGGGUAAGUGUCACAUAAAGGAUAUAAAGUAAUGAAUAGUGACAAAGAUAAUUAAUCUGAUCAGCAUAACUUAGCCACAUAUAAAUAUGAUAAGCACCUCAAUUAGAUAUUCUAGCAAGUCAUUAGCAUGGAAUUAGAAUGAACUACAAUAAUAUUUCCUAAGUUAUUCUCAACUAUACAGUCUAGCAUAUCAUAGUUAGUGCAAGCAUACUUAGCAAUCAUUGUGAGACAAGACUACGCGCAUGCAUAGUGAUAUUAGCAAGGAAUAUGAGAAACAUCGCAAUCACUCCCCUAUAAUAAUGUUGCUCUGCCAGCCCAAUACACGAGAGGGGGACUAUAUAAGAAUCAAUGAAGCUGUCACUAUCACGAACUACCCCGUGAUCUGGCAUAUUGGGUAGAAUCGCAGAUAAAUACGGUAUAAGCACCACGCCUACACAAUAUCUAUCAUUUACCCAUGGAUCCGAUGGAUAAACGGUAUAUGAUCCUAAACAUGUAUAUAGAUCCAAUCUAACUAAGCCAAGUAUAUAACUAUGAUAAACUAAGAACAAUAUAAUCUUGAAUAUAAACAAGUAGAGCUAAGUCAUAAGCAAUAUAUUGAAGUAGAACAAAGUCAUAUUCAUAAUAUUGAAGAACAAAGAUGAACAAUUAGAAGAACAAUUAGAGAAUUACUAAGAAUCCUCUUGACAAAUCCGGAAAACAAUCGAUGAUUGACUCCUUCUAAUUCUAAUCCUAUGUAGCUAUGCAAAUCUAGAUGUCUAAUUGAGGUGGUGGCUCUAGGCUUGAUGAGAGGCUUCUUCUCCCUUGAGGAAUAAUGAAUUAGGGUUGAGAGGCUCUCUCCGCCAGGGGCUAGGGGUUCUGGUUUUAUAGUCCUUCCCAGUGAAUAUGGGUCGUUGGAUCAAACCAACAUUGAUUGAACGGUUAUCCUUGAUCCUUUAGGUCGGUGGAGCGUAAUCCCGAAAGAGAGUUCUGAUUAGACUCUAUAGGGGGGCGGGCGCCCUGGUCUCCUGGGCGCCCGCCUAGGGCCAGGCCCCGUUUCGCCUCCGCUUCGUUCACGUGGCUUCUGGAGUCUUCUAGAUGUAAGAUAAUUGUACGGCACGUUGAUAUCUCUAUGUAAUCCCGACAUGUGGGUCUUUCUUCCGUAUUUCCUGAUAACCCCCUGCAGAAAUAGACAAACACCAAAACUCGUGGAAUUCUGUCAGAUAAAACCCUAAGUCUGGAUGUUGAUUUCAUUUGGAUCCUUUUCUUUGUUUAUUUGAUAAUUAAAUUUGAUACUUAAGGACCGUCAACAAUAAGUACAUCGGCAAGGGUAGGAGAAGCAGGACCAUGGCCAAACAAGAAAGCAUUGAGGGUGUCUGACCAGAAAUACGAGGCUGCUAUCAAUAGUGAUUCAUUUCUUUCCAUAUCGGCAAUGGAUAGCCUGAUGCACUGGUCUAGUUUACGUUCACCCCAUUGGACUUCAUUUGAGUUGCUAACUCUCAGAAACCAAUCCUUCCAUCCCUUAGUAGAACUGGGCUAGGAUCGGAAGGUGUGUUUCCACAGAUUUAAGGAGAAGUUCUCAGCUCUAAUGGGGAUCCUAUUUGUUUCCGCAUUCACGAUUUUCUCAGUAAAUUCCUAUAGGUUUGAAGGAUGAAAGAACAGAAAAGAAAAAAAGAGAGAAAAUGCUAAGUAAAUAGAUUUGCAGAAAAUAAAAGUAUGAAAGGAGAAAGAGAAGAUGAGAUGGAAUUGACCUCAGGAACGGUGAAGUUGACGGCCAUUUCUUCCCGGAGAGGAAGAAGAUCGACGAUUCGAAGAACUGCUGGGGAAGAUUUUCGCUGGAGUUCUUAGGCUUGCCGAACGGUGCCGCCGCUAGGAAGGUAGGUUUGAGGAUGCAAGAUGGCAAGGAGGAGGAAGAGUACCAAAGAAGGAAGUAUUUAUAGGACAAGGUAAGCAGGGGCAUUUCUGACUUAUCUCUUUCCCACAUCCGUGAAAUUCGAGGGUGUGCAGUUGGAUAUGGUAACUCUUCGCACGAUAAUCAAGGGAUUUCGCAAUUGAUUUGACAGCAAGCGGUGAUUUUAGGAGAUAUUUCACUGUGCAAGGUCUACUGGUCGGGUCAUCGGUAGUUCACUCUAACGGAAAAGUUGCCGAUGAGCGGUUGUUUAGGGGUUUUGAUUCAAGAGGUUGAGAGAUUCGAGGAGUAUGCUGGAGAUCUGGGUUAAGGUUGCUUGGAUUUGGUAAUUAAUCACUGCCAGAGGGGAGUAAUUGCGGAAAGGCAUCAUUACUGAAGAGAUUUUACAGCAUUAAAGAUUUUAUACUCCGAAAUUGGGGGCAUGUGUUGAUACCAUUUUUGGACACGUAUCUUUGGACAUGUAUCUGGGAGUUAAUGAAAUAUAGAUUGGCAGGCGAAAGAGUGGUGAUUAAAGUAGUUGCCGAUGGGGAUUGAUGCCGAUGGCGAAACAGUAGGAUGUGGUCAAGUCCAGGGAUGGUGAUUGAUCUAUGCCGAUGACUGAUACUGGUGGUUGCCGAUGCCGAUGGAAGGUGAUGUGCCGAUGAUAACAGAAGGAAGCGCGGGAAUUGCUGAUAGGAUGGUGACGGUGUGCCGAUCGUCUGUGGUAGAUAGAUUAAUGUUUUCCAUAGCUAUUAGAGUUUGUUUUGUAUACGGAUUCCGUUCGAUAUAGAAUUAGAGUCCUAGUCGUGUCUGGUUCUAGCCCUUUUGGACAGGGUAUAAAUGUAGACCCCGUAGCAAUGUAAUGACACAAUCAAUCAAACAUAAGUUUUUACAUCUAUUCCACAGCUACUUUUCGAUGACUUCGUCAACUUGCAUAUUUUCCUUUUACUUACGAGUUCUUAGAAAUUCAUCGAGCUAAACUCGACAAGUUCUUGAGUUCCGUGUGAAUACCUCUUGGCCGUGACAUCCGGGCGUAUCGCUGUUGUCGGGACCAAAGUAUUCGAGUUAUCACCUUUGUCGAUUGUAAGGUCAAAUCGGCUGGCACGCCAUAACAUCAAAUCGGAUAUUAGCCCUUUGUGUUUGUAGAUCUACUUUUGCAUCAACACCGUGGAACCACUGGAAGCGGAUGAAUGAAUUAACACCAUGGACCAGAAGUUCCGUCUCAUUCGGAUGACCGAGGAGCUCAAGGUAGAAUAUGCAGCACAUCAGCUGCAGGGGCCUGCUGGGAUUUGGUGGUCCCAUCAUCGUACCACCUAUCCAGAGGGGACCCCGAUCACCUGGAUCCCGCUUCACCACCGCCUUUUGGGGAAAAAUUAUAUUCCUGCAGGUGUGGUGGAGAUGAAGAUUGGAGAAUUCAUGAAGCUGUCUUAGGGGACCAAGUCUGUGAAAGAGUAUCUGCACGCUUUCAACAAUCUUGCUCGUUAUGCUCCAGAGUUCAUGAACACAGAGGCCAAGAAGAUCGCUAGUUUUUAGAGAGGCUUGAGCCCAAAGAUGUUGAAGACUAUGGGUACAGGGACCCGGGCUACUUUCAAUGCCUAUAUCAGUGACUGUCUGACUCAAGAGAACAAUAACAACAACUAUAGUGCAUCCAAGUCACAUAAGAGGGCAUUUGAAGCCGGAUCGUCUUAGUCCAGGGCACCAGUGGCAGGAUGUCAGCAUUACCGUCCUCCUGCCCAAGGUGCUAGGUUUCGACCUCCUCAGAUAAAAGGAAUAUAGGGCAUCCGACACAGUAGAAGCCGUACAACAUAGCAGUGGCUCUAGCAAGGCCAAGGGCGAAUCAAGCUGCAGCACCUGCUGCCAACACCAUGACCAAGGGACCAUGCUACAACUGCCACAAGAUGGGACACUUUGCUAAAGAAUGUCCCUAUCCCAAGAAACAACAGACGACCUACCCAGCCCGUGUGCACCACACCUCGAUAGAGGAGAUCCCGGAAGGAGAACCGGUAAGAACUGGUAUGUUCCCUGUCAACCAACAUCUUGUAGUUGUUUUGUUUGAUUCUGGAUCAUCGCAUUCACUCAUGAGCCAAGCAUUUGCACAAAAGCAUGAUCAACCAGUUACCGAGUUGGGUUGUGGUUAUCGCAUCAGUUUAGCUGGGGCUGAUGUGUUGACCAACAAAGCAGUAACAGGGGCUACCUUGGAUAUCAGUGGCCGAAGGUUUCGUGUAAACCUUGUAGUCAUGCCGGUGUUAGUUUUGGACGUUGUCAUCGGGAUGAAUAAGAUGACCGACUAGGGUGCAGUCAUAGUUGCUGGACAUAGAACUCUCUCCCUUAAGGAUCCGUAGGGGGAGGGCAUGCUUCAGGUCAGGUUGCCCCGAUGAUUUGACUUCGCUAGUCUUUCAUGUGCUGUACAAGUGGUUCCGCUUGAGCACAUACCAGUGGUCUGUGAGUUUCCUAAUGUUUUUCUAGAAGAGUUACCGGGACUUCCCUCGGAUAAGGAAGUAGAGUUUGCUAUAGAGUUGAUACCAGGUACAGCACCCAUCUCUAGGAGGCCGUACCGGAUGCCACUUAACGAGCUUGCUGAAUGGAAAACCCAGCCGAAGGAACUGCUGGACAAGGGUUUUAUCCGGCCGAGUUCGUCCGAAUGGGGUUGUCUAGUGCUGUUUGUGAAAAAGAAGGAUCAAUCUUUGCGCAUGUGCAUGGACUAUCGCCCACUCAAUGCGGUGACGAUCAAGAAUAAGUAUCCCUUGCCACGGAUUGAUAUCCUGUUCGAUCAGUUGUCAAAGGCAAAAGUGUUCUCCAAGAUAGAUUUGAGGUCUGGGUAUCACCAAAUCAAGAUCCUACGGCAAGAUAUACCAAAGACAGCUUUUUCUACCAGAUAUGGGUUGUAUGAGUACCAUGUCAUGUCCUUCGGAUUGACAAAUGCUCCUGCAUACUAUAUGUACCUGAUGAACUCAGUCUUUAUGUCUGAGUUAGACAAGUUUGUUGUGGUGUUCAUCGAUGACAUUCUGGUCUAUUUAGAGAAUGAGCAAGAUCAUGCUGAGCAUCUAAGGGUCGUGCCGACACAACUGCGAGAACAUCAGUUAUAUGCGAAGUUCAGCAAGUGUGAGUUCUAGCUGAAGAAAGUUCCAUUCCUUGGGCACAUUCUGUCAGAAGAAGGAAUCGCCAUGGAUCCAUCAAAGGUACAGGAAGUUACGGACUGGAAGGCACCAACUUCUAUCUCAGAAGUUUGAAGCUUUCUUGGUUUAGCCGGGUAUUACCGCCGUUUCAUCCCCGACUUCUCUAAGAUUGCUAAGCCAAUGACCAGUUUGCUACAAAAGGAUCAUAAGUUGGCCUGGACAGAGGGGUGUGAAGUAGCUUUCCGCACCUUGCGACAGCUACUGACCACUGCUCCUGUUCUAGCACAACCUAACAUCAAGAAGCCUUUUGAUGUGUUUUGCGACACAUCGAAAAGUGGUUUGGGAUGUGUGCUAAUGCAAGAGGGCGGAGUUAUAGCUUAUGCUUCACGAUAGAUGAGAAAACAUGAAUUCAAAUAUCUGACUCAUGACCUUGAACUAGCAGUUGUUGUGCACGCUCUAAAGAUCUGGAGGCACUAUCUGCUGGGGAAUAAGUGUCAUAUCUAUACGGAACAUAAGAGCCUGAAGUACAUCUUCACUCAAUCUGAGUUGAAUAUGAGGCAGCGAAGAUGGUUAGAGUUGAUCGAGGAUUAUGACCAUGAGGUCCACUACCAUCCGGGCAAGGCUAAUGUGGUAGCAGAUGCCUUAAUCCGUAAACCACAUUAUCAAGUGGUCCAGCCAUUGUUUGAAGAUGGUUUCAAUCUCAUGCAUCCUGAGGUUUUAUGUCACAUACAACUUACUUGUUCACUUGAGAGCCAAGUCAUCGAAGGUCAGAAAAAAGACAAGGGCAUUUCUCAUAUCAAAGAAAAGAUCAUGGGGGAUCCCAAGACACAGUUUCGAGUAGACAAGAAAGGUGUAUUGUGGUUUGAGCAUCGGUUGGUAGUUCCGAAGAAUCAAGAACUAAAGAAUCAAAUCAUGGAUGAAGCACAUCUUUCAAAACUUUCUAUCCACCCUUGGAGUAGUAAGAUGUAUCAGCAUCUAAAGUGUCACUUCUGGUGGACAAAAAUUAAGAAAGAGAUAGCAGCCUAUGUAGCCUGAUGCGACAUGUGUUGCCGAGUCAAAGCUAUACACAUGAAACCCGCAGGGUUGUUGCAACCGUUAUUAGUUCCAGAGUGGAAGUGGGAAGAGGUCAGUAUGGACUUCAUCACAGGUUUGCCAACUAUGCGAAGAGGGAAUGACUCGAUUUGGGUAAUCAUAGAUCGGUUGACCAAGUCGGCUCAUUUCAUUCCAGUUAAGAGCUCGUAUAGACCUCCUGAGUAUGCUGAUUUGUACAUGGCUGAAAUUGUCAAGCUGCAUGGUAUUCCCAAGACCAUCAUAUCAGAUAGAGGUCCAUAGUUCACCGCUCUCUUUUAGGAGCGAAUGCACAAGAGUUUGGGGACCAGUCUAGUGAGAAGCACCGCGUAUCAUCCUCAAACCUCAAGCCAAAUAGAAAGGCUUAAUCAAGUGCUAGAAGAUAUGCUGAGAGCUUGUGUGUUAUCUUCAAGAGGGUCUUGGGAAUCAUGGUUACCUUUGGCUGAAUUCUCUUACAAUAAUAGCUAUCAAGAGAGUAUCAAGAUGGCUCCUUUUGAAGCUUUGUAUGGUCGGAAGUGUAGGACUCUGUUAAAAUGGGUCGAACUUGGUGAGAGGAGAUACUAUGGUAUCGACUUUGUGAAUGAUGCUGAGAAGAAGGUGCAAAUCAUAAAACAACACAUGAGAAUCGCACAGUCAUGACAGAAAAGCUAUGCCGACAAGAGGAGGAGACCACUUGAGUUUAAUGUGGGUGACUAUGUUUACCUCAAGGUUACACCAAUGAAGAAAGUUCAUCGCUUCCGAGUUCAAAGUAAGCUUGCACCAAGAUACAUGGGACCGUAUCAGAUAAUAGAACGGAAAGGCCCUGUGGCCUACAAGGUCCAGUACCUGAAGAGUUGAGCUCGAUCUUUCCAGUUUUUCAUGUAUCCCAGCCGAGAAAGUGUUUGAAGGUACCCGAACAGAGGAUUGAACCUCAGGGGAUCAAGAUAAAGGCAGAUUUGGAUUAUAAAGAGCAACCAGUGGGUAUCGUAGAUACCAAGGAGCGGGUAACCAGGAAUAGAGUUGUCAAAACCUACAAGGUGCAGUUGUGGAGUCAUCAUGAUGAUAGAGACGCCACCUGGGAAACAGAGGAUUACCUAAAAAUAGUUUAUCCAAAAUUUCAUAAGAAAUGGUUAGUAACCCAAAAUCUCGGGAUGAGAUUUCCCUAAGGGGGGAAGGGCUGUAACACCCUAGGUCUUAAGCAUGCAUUUAAUUUCAUAAGCUCACUCAUGAGCAUCCUCAUGAAGCAUAGCAUGAGCAUAGCAUCACCUAAGCAUGGUAGCUUGAAAUUGUGAUUUUAUGUGAUUGAUUUAAAUGAAUUAAAUAUAAUAAAUUUGUAUGCUUGAUUUAAAUUUGCUUGUGAUGACCAAAAUAAGUUGAACUAUGUUUCAAAAGAAUUAAGAAAAAUUUUGUGACAUUUUUGGAGCUCUAGAAUUGGAGAAAUGAAUUUAUUGCAAAAAGCCCCAAAAUGAAUUUAUUUAAAAACCUAGAACUAGUUUUGAGUUGCAUUUCAAAUUUUAUUUGGAAUUUGGAGUUGCAGCUUGAAACAAAGUUGUAGAAUUAUUUAUUUGUGACAACUUUCGUUUUUGGGGCCAAACCUGAAAAAGAUUUUAAAUGAGUUAAAAUGAGCUUGGAAAAUCUUUAGAAAAAAGAGAAAUUCAAAAAAAAAGAGAAAGGGGGCAGGCACUGUUGGGCCGACCUGCCUCCCUUUUGGCCCGCUCAGCCGCGCGGCCCAGCUCCUCCCCGCCUCGCCGCACGCGCGUACACGCCCACCUUUCUCCAUCCGGCGCCGGCCACGUGGCGGCCGUACGUCGGCGACGUGGCCGCGGCCGCCCGGCUCCGACCGGCAUAACCCGGUCGGGAUGCCGCUCCACUCUCUAGGCUCCCCUUUCCUUCUGUCACCCCCACACUUUUGCCCGCAGCCGCUCCCACUCCGCUCUGCCGCGGCGCCAUUGUUGGCCGAAGCUCCGCCGCUCGCCGCCAGCCGUGUUAGUGGGCCAUUCUACGCGCCAAGGCCACCGCCGUGCUCGCCUUCGCCGCGGUAAGCCCCUGCGCACACUCUACCAAGGUGAAAGUCAUCCACAAGCCUGCAGUAGCUCACCGGAGUUCGUCCAACCUCGUCGGAGUGCUCCGCCGCUCCGAAACCCUCCCUCUCUUGCCUUGAUUCGCCUGUUUUUGAGCGUGUUGGGUUCGGGAUGUGAGCAAGCUCUGGUGAUGCUCCGCGCGCGUUCUACCCCGCCGGAGUGGCCUGGCCACGGCGAGCAGCACGGCCGUACCACCAUACACGCCAGCAGGGGUGCUCUGGCCAUUCUCCGGCUAAGCCGAGGGCACCAUCGGGUGCGCCUCGUUGCGGGGAGCACGCUGGUGCUCACGCCGUGGCCGGGGACCUCACCGCCGGCGAGAUCCGCUCAUCGGAGGUGCCCCUCCUCCCUGUUCCGCUGGCCAAUGGGGUCGGGGCACCACUGUCAGCCACACGGGGGUCAGGUUGGGUGCAGAUUUGGGAGUUUCUAGCAUUUUCCAGUGCAGAUUUAAAAAAGGAAUUUCUAAAAUGGUUUUUAGAAAUGUGUUAAUUAGUGUUUAAUUCAUAUCUUGAGAUCUAUGUCUCCAAAAAUGAUGAAAUAAGUUUGAUGCAUUCUAUAAUUCCAGAUCUACAACUUGGUGUAAUUGCAUAUCAUGUUUGUACAACUUUUCUGUGUAAAUAUAAUUAUUCCAUGUUUUUGCUGAUAUUUAGAAAAUGCAUGGUGAAUAGAAUAUAACUCAGAAAAAUGUAAUUCUUGUUUUGUUAACCUUGCAUGGAUGUUUAGUCUAUGGGAAAAUUAUGUGACACAAUAUUUGCUGUAUAAAUUAAUUUAUGGUGAUUUAAAUGCUUGCAUGGCAGUGGUUUAUGAUUUUUAAUAAAUAAUUGGAUCAUGCAAUUAAUAUGAAAAUUUUUAUGGACAUUUCUUAUGUUAGUAAGUAAUUUAUAAAAAUAUGAAAUCUGUUGUUUGACACUUCAUCAUGAGUAGGGUAUUUACACUUAAUUAUAAUAAGUAGAAUUGUGAUUUUUGUGUAGGCCAGAUUACGUGUCUAAAUAUUAUGAAAAAUUUGUGGUGAACUUUAUAAUUAACCAGUGACCUACUGUAAUUUUUGUAGAAUUUAUUGAGGUUCAGAAGUAUAUGCUACUGUUGUAGGCCUAAUAGUAAUUAAAUAAGUCAAACCUUGCUAUGCAUAAGAUAAAUAAAAUAAAUAGUGUUUGGUGUAUCUUUGAAGCACCAUAAUAGCUUGCUGAUUGAUAAUAGUAACUAGUAGAAGAGAAUGGAAUAGAUGCUUUAAAUUGCAUACGUGUUCUUGGAUUAUGUUGACUACCUUGUAGAAAUAGUUUCUUGCUUCAUCCGUACACCAUGUCAUGAUCAUCGUGAUUUAACUUGCACAAGCAUUGCACUUCGAGCAUCACUGCACUCCACUCAUGAGCACAUAUGCAUCAUACAGGCUUGCAGGAGAACGAGGUGGGACCCGAGGAGCAGGAGGAGACCUAGGAGGAGGAACUUCCGGGAGGACCAGGUCCGGAAGGAGAUUUGCAGGAGUGCCCAGACCACAGGCCUAGCACUUUCAAGAAAGGCAAGCCCCGGAGUAUUCUAAGUCUCCCUAUUCUUGCUAACUUAAAUUUGAUAUAUCAUGAUUGUUCUACUAUGCUGCAUUUAAGUGAUAGGAGUUGCUUGAUACCGUUGAUGUAUAAGUACUCCUUGAUAUCACCACUUGUUUAUCUACCUUGUCCUAUGUAGAUAGGCUCGGAGUCUAUGCUUAGCUUGCUUAGUACGGUAAAAGUCAGGUUAUUUCCUGUCACCUGCGAGAUAUAGGUGGAUACCUGAAUGUUAGCUGUCAAUGCUAUGAAGAAAUGUAACCAAGUGUGGAAAGAAAAGUGAGACUAGGUAGGGUCUUAUGGUGGUGCUGACCGUAGUGCCCCUGCCUGUGUCGAUUAAGGACCGAUCGUUGACAGCCCUCUUGUCAUGUUGAACGCAUGCCCCACACUUAGCUAGAAGGAUAAGUUAUUCCGACCGCGAAGCCUGAACACUAUCCGGGCUGGGAAUCGGCCCAAUGUACGCACUGUAUUGGUGAUGGUUGAGGAGAACGACGAGGGCGCGGCGCGCAACCUUGGUAUACCUUGGAUACCUCGGUCGCCGGAACGGUCCUCGGGUACGGGCGGUGCCUGUCGAACCCACGAUUUGGUCAUGGAUAGUGUAACACGGUGACCUGUAGCUCACUUGAUCAGUUAGUGUGGUUUGUGUGGGGAAUAAACUCGCUAGGUGGUUAGAAAUCGAUUCGAAUCGCCAUCGCUCCUGGAUAGUAACCACUUGACUUGAGCUUCGUCCUCGUAGUAAGGACUAUGAAACAAUUGGGUUAUGAUAAGUAAUGAUUUGUGAAUGCUAUGAUAAUGUACUAUCAUAUCACAACACUUGUUUGCAAAAGUACAGGUGCAAAUCUAGAUGAUAGGUAAUAAUACCUAACCUGAGCUAAUUAAAGAAAGGAGUAUGUUAGGUUAUACUUUUAGAGGGGUAAUGCUUUUAUGCAAAAAGGUUUCAGCUACCCCACUAUACAGCCUUAAUGAUCCUUGAAGAGUCUUUUAUUUUGGUUUAUGACGGGUAAGUCUAGCUGAGUACAUUUUCGUACUCAGGGUUCCAUUCCUAUGUUGUUUUGCAGAUGGUCAGAUGUACUAUGGUUAUUGCAUUCACUGCUUGUACCCAUCAAUGGGCGAUGACUAGACCAAGGGCGAUGGUCACUCUACCUCUUCUUUUGCUGUUGUGGGAAUGAUCAAACUAUGGCACUGUAUUAGACUAAGUGUGUGUGUGUGUAAUUUUAAAACUAUGAUGCUUCCGCUACUCUUGAACUUGGUUUGUAAUAACUUUAAUUGAACUCCGAUGUAAUCUUCGAAUGUUGUGGACUGAAUGUAAUUGUGGAUGGUGAUUGCUGGACUUAUUACGAUCUUGGCUGUAUCUAUAGUUUGUGGUUUGAAAUCCCUCGUGAUUUCAUGGACUUCCAGGAUUAUAUGGGCUUAAGCUGGAUGGAUUGACUAUGCAAAUGGUCAUUAUUAGUCUUAAUCUCUUAUAAUUUGGGUGGUUCUAUUACAGAACUUGCGGCUUCAACCACACCGCUGUCUUUGAUGAGCAACUCUUGGACCAAUCAGGUAUAAGAAUCGACUUUCCUACUGUCUUUUAUGCCAUUGGUUGGUGUGGAUUUUAGCAAGUUCCCGAACUUGGUAUAAAAGUCUCUCAAGAAUUUCUUGCCACAAUAAAAUCAAAUGAUACGGGAGUAACUUUUCGCAUGUUCAACAAAGACUAUAGUUUAACUUGGAGUGAGCUAAGUACAUGUAUAGGCUUUGAUCAAGAUUGUGAGCUAGACAUAGAUCAUGCUUUGCAAAAUUUUGACUUAGCUAAAUUCUAGAAGUUGAUUACUUGCUCCAAUAAUCUCUUUGUUCGUAGACCUGUCCAAAUCCAUAACCCAACCUUAAGAUUCAUGUACAUUUGGAUCAUAGUCACUAUCUUCCCUGGUGCUAGCAUGGAUGAUAUAGGCUGUAAAGAAUUGCAAAUCCUUUAUGCCAUGGUAAACAAAAUCAAAUUUUCACCUGUCAAGUGGCUAGUACCUUUCUAGAUUUCCUCCAUUGUACCUAGCAUGCCCCUAUGCUUUACUUCACUUGUCACCAGAAUUACUGAAUCUAUGGGUUUGCUUGAAACAAAUGAAGUAGAGUACAUCCAUGAUGAUAGAUCUAUUUUAGGUUAGUAGAUGUUUAGGAGCACUAAUUUGAUUAAGAGAGAUCCCAGAAAUGGCCUUAAAAUGAUUUAUGGGAACCAUCCUAUUGAGGUCUCUCUCCUCGAUGAGAACCUUUGGUUGUAUAAUGCUUCAUCACUAACCCUAAGGCUAGGAAGAGAGAAUAGAGCCACCCCUGUUGCAGGGACGGACAGGAUGACGAGAGCACAGUCCCGUGCUGCUCAACACUAAGCUGGUUCCUCUUAUGCACCACAAGAAGAGGAUGAGGUGAACUCCAUGGAAACACCUCAUCACUCCAAGACGUCUUCAGCAACGCGCACCCCUCGCCCUCGUGGUAGGGGGAGGCGACAACCACUGUCUGAAAUGGAGACACUUAUCAGCGACAUGGAGAACAUCAACAUCGGACAGCAGACCACCUUGUAGCUCAUGCAAGAGAACAUGGACAUGGCCCAAAGCCUCCAAGCUGAGAGUGAGUACCGAUGGGACCUGUGGUUUGGGUAUCAACCACCCCAGUGAGCAAGAAGGCAAGCUUGGGGGAGAUUCUCUCCCCCACUAAGGUAUGUUUAUCCAAGGUAUAAUUUUAUUCUUGCUUUAUUGCAUUUUGUCUAUUUCCUUCUUGCAUAAUAAAAAAAUCAAAAAAAAUAUUUAUUAGCUUUAUUUCCUUUUUAUAUAUGCUUCAUGUGUGCUACCCUUCCUACGGAAAUGAUGAUGAAAUUGCUAGUUAAUGUCUUUUACUUAGUAUUCUUAACCAUCAUGAACUUGAACAUUGUUGACACCGUUUUUUGACACGUACCUAAAAAAUUAAUGGAGUACGGAUCGGCAGGCAGAAAAGUAAUGCUUGAUUGACAGAAGAGAUUCCGAUGGGUUAUGAUGCCGAUGAUAAGGCAGCAGGAUGUGACCAAGUCCGGGGGUGAUUGAUCUAUGCCGAUGACCGAUAUUGAUGGUUGCCGAUGCCGAUGGAAGGUGAUUUGCCGAUGAUAGUAGAAGAAGGCGCAGGAAUUGUCAAUAGGAUGGUAACAGUGUGACGAUCGCCUGUGGUGGAUAGAUUAAUGUUUUCCAUAGUUACUAGAGUUUGUUUUAUAUAUGUAUUCCGUUCGAUUUGUAAUUAGAAUCCUAGUCGUGUCUGGUUGUAACUCUUUUGGACAGGGUAUAAAUGUAGACCCCGUAGCAAUGUAAGAAAUAAUCACAAUCAAUCAAACACAAGUUUUUACUUCUAUUCUAGCAUCUACUUUUUUGACGACUUUGUCAAUUUGCAUAUUUUCCUUUUACUUACGAGUUCUUAGGAAUUCAUCGAGUCAAACUCGGCGAGUUCUCAAGUUCCGUGUGAAUAACUAAUGGUCGUGGCAUCCGGGCGUAUCGCUGUUGUCGGGACCAAAGUAUUCGAGUUAUCACCUUUGUCGAUUGUAAGGUCAAAUCGGCUGGCACGCCUUAACAUUGAAUCGGGUAUUAGCCCUUUGUGUUUGCAGAUCUACUUUUGCAUCAACACAUCUUUUGGCACACCUAGCGGAACAGAUUCAAAUUCAUCAUCAAGAUCAACAUGUCGAAUACUGACUUCGAUACAGAGAGUAUCAUUGCUAUAACUGAAGCCAGUCUCAGGUAUGAGCAGAAGCAAGCUAUGGCAAAAGCUAUGGAGGAGUACAAGCAGCUGUGUUUGAAAUCCUUCAGGGUCAACAAGAGCGGCGAGGUGAUCCAAAAGGAAGCAUUGCCGAUGCCACGACAAAUCACUUUUGAAGCUAAUCCUAGUAAAUUGCAAGAGAUGGUUGACAAUGCUAUUAAUCACGCUUUAAUCAAUCAAUCCAGUGUGUUGUCCAAUACAGUUUUCAAUGUUGUGGCUAGAACCUUCAAAUAGGGACAGAUACCACCAGCUUGUGUGGGCCCGACCUAUCAUCGGCCAGGAUCAUCAUCGGUUAUGGCUCCAUCGGCUACUCUAGCCGUUGUGGGUACAGAAGUUACUUCUCCUCCAAGCACAUUAGGGAUGACUAAUGGGCAAUCUACACCGAUGAGAACUAACCCAGCAACAUUAGAGGGACAUGUUCAACUUGCUACAGAUCUAUUGGCAUCGGAAAUGUCUGGAUCUGUAUUUAAAAAUUGUCAAGUUCCUCCCAACUGGUGGGGAUAUGGUAUGCCCCCGGACUUUGGUGCAAACAGUUCUAGAACAUCUCAAGUGGCUGACGUGACAAGCAAGGCUCCUAUGACAUCGGCACCCCCAGUAUCGCCGAUGACCCUGAAUCCUCAGUAUUCCACAACUACUACUGCAAGACCUUUUACUUGGAAUUCUCAGAUACCGAUAUUCCACAUGCCUAACGCAUCGGUGGACCCACUGCCGAUGCAUCAAAGAUUUAUGACCCACACAGGGUAUGUCAAUCCAAUGAUAACACCCAACUAUCAGCCAUCGGUAGGACCUAUGCCAAUGAAUGCUAACAAUGGAUGGACAUGGCAGUUUGUCUUUCCACAAAUGACCCAGCAGAAUCAUCAGGCUACAGGAUUCCAGCUGGGACCGAUGUAGUUUGGCUUUCAGAAUCAAGGAUUGGUCAAUCAGCCGAUGAAUCUUGCUUAGCAAGUUGGUGGUCAACAGGUGGCAGCUAAUGCUAUGUUCCCUGGAGAUCGUGCACCUCAGAGACACAUGGAAGCUUAUCAGCAGGUGCCAGAUCCACAACCCGCUCAUCAGUAGGAUGCUGAUGCCUAUUGGACCAAUAAGAUAGCUGAAGUGAUGAGAGAUCUGUUUGGGAUAAAACCCAAAGUCAACACUUAUUCUUAUCGGACACCGUAUCCUCCAGCAUAUGACUUAAUCCCGCUUCCAAAUCGAUACAAGGUGCCGGAUUUCACCAAAUUCUCUGGACAGGAUGACACGUCAACCAUGGAACAUGUUAACAGGUUCAUUAUCCAGUGCGGGGAAGCUGCUAGCAGAGAUGGGCUAAGAGUUUGUUUAUUCUCAUCAUCUUUAUCUGGAUUGGGUGCACUUGGUUUAUUUCAUUACCUCCAAACUCAGUAAUUACUUGGGCCGAUCUAGAGAAGCAGUUUCAUAAAUACUUCUUUUCUGGAGUUCAUGUGAAGAAGAUUACCGAUUUAGACAGGCUAACGCAACGCAAUGAUGAAUCGGUUGAAAGUUUUGUACAAAGGUUGCGGGAUGUCAAGAACAAGUGCUACAGUCUAGUUCAAGACGAUUGGCAGCUAGCCGGUUUGGCUUUCUAGAGAUUGUUGCCGCAUAUCAAGGACAAGUAUGCGUCUCAAGAAUUUGAAAGUUUAAGUCAUUUGGUGCAAACUAUUUCUGAUCAAGACAUCAAGGCUUUUCAACCUAGGAAAGCUUGGAACAAAAAGGUGUCAUUUGUUAAUGAGGUAACAAGCUCAGAUUCUGAUGAAGAACCAAUCAUCGGAUUAGCAGAAUGGGUGAAGAACAAGAAGCCGAUGACUUGUCCUUUUGGCCAUAAAGAACCAAAAAAAUUUGCGUUUGACAUAAAAAAACCGAUAGGAUAUUUGACUUUCUACUUCAGGAGGGGCAAAUUAAAUUGUCAACCAACCAUGUGAUUCCAUCGGCAGAGGAGUUGAAGGAUAUCAAGUAUUACAAAUGACAUAAUGCUACUUCUCAUAGUACAAACGAAUGCAAAGUGUUCAGACAACAGCUGCAAUCCGCUAUAGAGUCUGGGAGGAUUAAUUUUGAUAACUCCAGAACUCAAAGGCUGAUGAAGAUUGAUCAACGUCAUUUCCCCACAAAUAUGUUAGAUGCUAAGGGAAAGACUAAAGUCUUGACUUCGGAGGCAGCUGAAAAGAGCGCAUCGGUGGAUCCUCAGCACCAGAUCACUACCGAUGACGCCAAGGGUAAGGGUUUGAUCCAAGAAGGUACUAGCUCAAGUAGGCCUCCUCGGUCCAGCAUUGUAAUUACCCACAGGAGACAUCGGGAAACGUGGCAGCAGCGUGAGGAUCGAUAUCGUCACCAGCAGGAAGAUCGUCACCGGGAGAGGAAAGACGCUGACAAGAGUGGAAUUGGCAUAAAGAUCAUUGGAAUUUCCCGUUCUUCAUCCACUGCUGGAAGCAGAAUAUUAAAUUACCAACUGUCAGAGACUGCCCUGAAUGCAAUGGCUAUGAUCAGCAUAAUCGAUCAGAUCGAUACUAUCAAGACGAUAAUCGGCGUUUUGAUGGGCCGAUUAGAGGGAGGACAUCAGUGCACGAUCGGCUGGGGGGCAGACUCAGUGUGCAUGAUAGGCUUGGUGAACGUGUCAGCUAUUUUCCUAGAAACCAAGAGGAACUUGAGGAGAUGGUAGAUCCGCGAGUUUCCGAUGAGUUCAUAUUUUUAGGGAUGCUAAUACUUAUCGGGUAGAAUCGAGGGAAAAUUGUCAUCAACCAGUACGGAGAACAUAGCUUCCCCUAUGGUGUCUAGAAGGGUUGACAAGGACACAGAAAAGAAGGCUGCAGUGAGAGCGACAAGAAUAACUGAGCAGGGAAGAGAAUUCCGCUAAGUCUGGAGAUCGGCAGCAAUCAGAUCCCACGGGAAAAGGCCCAUCAACAGAUGUUAAUAUGGUGUUUAUGUUGCCGAUGGAAUUUCUUGCACCUUCCAGUGAUGAUGAGGAGAUAGAUUUUCCUGAUCAGAUAGCUCAGCUGGCUCUCGACCCGAUGACAGCUAUCUUUGAAAAGCCCGCUGACGACGAAAGACAGCAUCUUAAAGCUUUAUUUGUCAAAGGUAGGUUUGAUGGGCAGCCGAUGACCAAGAUACUCAUUGAUGGUGGAGCUUCUAUCAAUAUUAUGCCAUAUGCAAUCUAUCAGAAGCUUGGAAAAGGGGAUCAGGAUUUGACCAAAACCGAUAUGAUGUUGAAAGAUUUUGAAGGAAAUGUGUCUCCGGUCAAAGGAGCCAUAUGUGUUGAAUUGACCAUCGGCAGCAAAACCCUGCCGACGACUUUCUUUGUCAUUAGUGGAGAGGGUGCUUACAAUUUACUACUAGGAAGAGACUGGAUUCAUGCCAAUUGUUGUAUCCCUUCUACAAUGCACCAGUGCUUAGUUCAAUGGGUAGGUGAUAAGAUUGAAAUUGUCCCAGAAGAUUCGUCAUAUGUCAUCGCAUCGGCAAAAGCAGAUACUUAUGAAAGGACCAGAUGUAUUUCAGGAGAAGUUUGGGAGAAGGAUUUUGUCAAAGUUGCCGAUUAUGAAAUUCCACCGAUCCAAGCAGUUGGUUCUGAUGAAGGUUUUUAAUGGAUUGGUUCGCCGAUGAUGGGAAACUAGGCCAGGGGUUUACAUCGGCUGAUGAUUUAGUAGAGGUUGAUAUAGGUAAUGGUGAUAGGCCAAGGCCUACUUUUCUUAGUGCUAAGUUAGAUUCUGAGUGUAAGCAACAAUUAACCGAUUUGUUAAAGGAAUAUAAAGAUUGCUUUGCUUGGGAUUAUAUCAAGAUGCUUGGUUUAGGCCGAUCGAUUGUUGAACAUCGGUUGCCUAUCAAGUUUGGAUUUCGGCCGCAUCAGCAACCAGCAUGCCGAUGCAAUCCUAAUAUUCUUCCUGAUAUUAAGGCCGAAAUAACUAAACUUAUUAAAGCUAAAUUUAUUUGGCAAUGUCGGUAUGCCAAAUGGAUUUCUAAUGUUGUUCCCAUUUACAAGAAGAAUGGGAAACUUCGUGUCUGCAUUGAUUUUAGGAAUCUCAAUAAGGCUACACCGAUGGAUGGUUAUCCAAUGCCGGUUGCCGAUAUGUUGGUUGACGCUGCAGCUGGACAUCGGAUCAUUAGCUUUAUGGAUGGCAAUGCAGGAUACAAUCAAAUAUUUAUGGCUGAAGAAGAUAUUCCCAAGACUGCAUUUAGAUGUCCUGGUCAUGUGGGAUUAUUUGAGUGGAUAGUCAUGACGUUUGGCUUGAAAAAUGCUGGUGCUACUUAUCAGAGGGCUACGAAUUUCAUCUUUCAUGAGUUCAUCGGCAAGCUGGUGGAAAUCUAUAUUGAUGACGUGGUGGUUAAGUCUAGAGAUUUCACAAAGCAUCUAGCCGAUCUGCGAAAGGUGUUGGAGUGCACAAGGAAGCAUGGUUUGAAGAUGAAUCCUAAUAAAUUUGCAUUUGGUGUAUCGGCAGGACAAUUUCUUGGUUUCAUGGUGCAUCAGAGAGGGAUGGAAAUUAGUAGGAAAUCCAUUGGUGCUAUCAAUAAGAUAGUUGCUCCCACCAAUAAAAUUGAACUUCAAUCAUUGAUCGGCAAUAUAAAUUUCAUUAGGCGAUUUAUAUCUAACUUGUCUGGUAAGAUUCGUGCUUUUAGUCCUUUACUUAAGUUAAAAGCCGAUCAAGAAUUUUUGUGGGAGGAAGAGCAACAAUUAGCAUUGGAUAAGAUCAAGAAUUACUUGACAAAUCCUCCAGUUCUGAUCCCACCUCAACAAGGAAAGCCCUUCAGAUUAUACUUGUCUACCGAUGGGAUGGUCAUCGGUUCGGCUCUAAUUCAAGAUUUUGAAGGGAAGGAACGUGUGAUUUAUUAUCUAAGUAGAAGACUGGCGGAUGCUGAAACAAGGUAUUCGGCAAUUGAAAAGUUGUGUUUAUGCUUAUACUUUUCUUGUGUCAAAUUGAGACAUUACUUGCUAUCGGCCGAAUGCACUGUUAUAUGCAAAGAUGAUGUAGUUCGGUACAUGGUAUCUAUGCCGAUUAUGAAUUGUAGAAUCGGCAAGUGGAUUUUGGCUUUGUCGGAAUUUGAUCUACACUAUGAAUCGGCUAAGGCAGUUAAAGGGCAGAUUAUGGCCGAUUUUGUAACUCAGCAUUGUGGUGUAGUGGAUGCUUUGGAAAUCGUUCCUUGGACGCUCUUCUUUGAUGGAUCUACAUGUGACCGGGGGGCAGGAAUCAGCAUAGUGCUAAUUUCUCCUCGGGGAAAGAAAUAUGAGUUUUCUUUGCUGAUUAUUGCUUUGUCAACAAAUAAUCAAGCUAAGUAUCAAGCUUUUAUCAAGGGGUUGGAAUUGUUAAAAGAGGUUCAUGCUGAUGCUGUUGAGAUCUUCGGUGAUUCCAUGCUCGUUAUAAAUCAACUGGCUGAAAUUUACGAUUGCCGAAGUGAGGUUUUGAUAACCUAUUAUGAAAGGAGCAUACAACUGUUAAGGGAAUUCAAGGAUUUCCGAUUGGAGCAUAUUCCUCGAUUGUAUAAUGAAGAAGCCAACCGAUUGGCUCAACACGCCUCAGGGUAUCAACCCAUUUUAAAUAUAUUAUCUGUAGUUGGUGCCGAUGAUUGGAGAAAAUAGAUUAUUGAAUACUUAAAAGAUCCGUCUAGAAAAGUUGAGAGACGUGUCAGGUUUCAAGCAACAAAGUAUGUACUCCUCGAAGAAGAGUUGUAUUAUCGGACAAUAGAUGGUGUUCUGCUCAGAUGUUUGAGUAACGAUGAGGCUAGAAGCUUGAUGGGUGAGAUUCAUGAGGGAGUGUGUGGAGCACAUCAGUCGGCUUUCAAGAUGAAAUGGAUGAUUAGAAGAAACAGAUAUUAUUGGCCGACUAUACUUGAAGAUUGCUUUAAAUACUUCAAAGGGUGUCAAGGAUGUCAGAAGUUUGGCAAUAUUCAAAGGGCGCCCGCAUCGGCCAUGAAUCCUAUUAUUAAACCUUGGCCGUUUCGGGGAUUGGCUAUUGAUCUCAUCGGCCAGAUUUAUCCGCCAUUAAGCAAGGGGCAUAAGUUCAUCUUAGUUGCUACUGAUUAUUUUACUAAAUGGGUUGAAGCUAUUCCUUUGAAGAAAGUGACAUCGGCUAACAUGAUUGAUUUUGUGAAGGAACACAUUGUUUACCGAUUUGGUAUUCCUCAAACAAUCACUACCGAUCAGGGUAUUAUGUUCACAUCAGGAGAGUUUGAUGAAUUUGCAAUCGGCUUGGGAAUUAAAGUGUUGAAUUCUUCUCCUUAUUAUGCUCAAGCUAAUGGACAAGCCAAAGCUUCUAACAAAGGGAUUAUUAAUCUCAUCAAGCGAAAAAUUGAAGAAAAUCCUAGAAGAUGGCACACAUUGUUAAAUGAAGCUUUGUGGUCAUAUCGGAUGGCAUGCCAUGGAUCAACCAAAGUUUUGCCCUAUCAAUUGGUGUAUGGGCACGAUGCGGUGUUACCAUGGGAAAUUAAGACUGGAUCUAGGAGGGUGUCUUUCUAAGAUCAAUUGGCUGCCGAUGACUAUGCUACUUUGAUGAAAGAUGAGUUAGAUGAUUUGGCAGAGCAUCGGUUGAGGGCUUUGAUAAGUAUAGAAGAAAAUAAAAAGAGAGCAGCUAAAUGGUAUGAUAAAAAAGUAAAAGCUAAGGAAUUUGCCAAUGAAGAUUUGGUAUGGAAAUUAAUUCUACCGAUUGGGACUAAAAGUUCAAAAUUUGGAAAAUGGUCUCUUAAUUGGGAAGGUCCUUAUCGGAUAAAUCGGUCUGCUCCUGGCAAUGCUUAUAUUUUAGAAAAUCUUGAAGGAGUUGAAUUUCCCAGAGCAUUAAAUGGAAAAUAUUUAAAGAAGUAUUAUCCAAGUAUUUGGAUUGAUGCAUAGAAGUUCAAAUGCCGAUAACACUCCUAUCGGUUGGAUGAAAUGUAUCUAAGAUCAUGCAUGAUGUUUUAAAGUGCCGAUAACAGUCCUAUCGGCUAGACCAGAAUGAUCAAAAGUUUUUAAGGGCAGAAUGGAACGAAUUGCCAAUGAAGAGCUCACAGAUUUAGCAAAGCUUGAAUAGUCGAUAUGGCGCGCAGACGGAUCUGGUUGGCCUCUUCUAUCUCUCGGAUAUCUUCAUCGACAGAACCCUGUAUUGGUCUCAGCUUCUUCUUCAUCUGCAGUGCUUUACGGGCUUGGAUAUUUCGUUCUUGUUGAAGAGUCUUGAGCAUCUCAGUCAGCUGACCUUCUUCUUGCUGAGCUUGGGUCAGGGCCUCUUCUACUUGUUUGAGCUCAGCUAGUAGGGCUUCCUUUCUUGCUGAUAGGUCGGAAAUCUUCUGCUUCAGCUCAUCCCCUGAGGACUGGAGAAUGCCGAUGCUCUUGUGUUUCUCAUAGGCAAUGCGCUUUACUUGCAUCACUUCCUCUGUGAGCCGGGCGUGAGUGGUUCUAUCAGAAAGACGCUAAGUAGCUUUCUGGUAUUGGAGCUGGCGGCUUUCUAAGUGCGCAGCUUGGAAUAGGACUUCUUCUGUGUCGGCUAGAAUCUGACCACGAAUGGUUUUGAAUAAAGCCUUGGCUAGAUCGGAAUCAUCUAUUAGCUGGGUUGUAUCUUGAUGCAGCAUAGCCAACAGGUCUUCCAGCUUAGCUUUAAUCACUGCCGAUGAGAUUCCUACUGCUUGAGAAGAGCUCGCUUCUUCACCCUCGUCAUCGGAAAUGUCGAUGGCAAUGGAGAAUAGGCUGUCUGGAGAAUCUUGUUCCUAAAAGGGGAAUGGAGAUAAGUUAUCCAAUUAUCAAAUGUUGAUAAUAUAAAGGAUAGAGAUCAGAUAACUUACUUGCUUCGGAGCAAUUUCAUGCCUCUGACGUGGAGAUGCAGCUGGUACUAUGGGUUGAUCGGCUGAAGUUGCCGAUGGAAUAACUUGGACUAAGAAUUUGCAAGGGUGGUUAUCAUUUUCAAAGAUAAAAUUCAUCGAUGAUAAUUCUAUGAUCGAUACUUUACCUUGAGGAGGUAUGGUGAUUAAUUGUUCUGGAGGAAUAGCCGAUGACGUACCCAGGUCAGUCGGAUCGGCAACCUGUUCAGAAACAUCGGCUGGUGCUUCUUGCUGGAGUACUUGUCGAGGAGGAGAAGGUACUUCUUGUGUCUAGGCUUCUGGUGAAGAAGGGGAUGUUUCCACAUGGAUCGGUGACACUGGACGAGGAGGAGAAGAUGGUGCUGUCCUCUGGUGCUUUGGUUGCAACUUGGUGCUCUUGGGGCCUUUUCUCUUGGCUUGGCUAGGCUGGGGGCAUCGGCACUUGUUUGGGCGAUUCCGGUCUUCGCCGAUUUGCCAGUUUGCCGUUACAACAACCAAGAUUUCAUGAGUAAAAGCAUAAAAAGGAUAUUGAUGAAAUUUUGUUGAAAGAUAAAAGUUACCAAUGUUGUUACCGUGGCAGUCGAUGUACCCAGAAAGGAUGAUAUAAGUAUGGGAUGAAAUCAGUGCAAGUAGAGGAAGUUAAGGAGUUUUACCUUCAAGGCCUGUGCUAGAGUAGCAGCAGCUACCGAUUGAGAUACUUUUGACCUCUUGGUGGUCGUCUUCUUGAAGCGCACGUUGCGGUGCGCUAGAGCCGCCAGACUUGGUGCUUGGUGGCCGAUCAAAGAAAUCGGGCCCGAUUGAAGAAGAUCGAUCGGCUUCCCACUCUAGUUGACUGUUCGCGCUAGGUUAUCGACCUGUUGAAAUAAACAUAAAGCGAAUAAGUUGCUGAUAGGAUUAGAAAUAACGGAAGGGUCAAAGUAUCGGUAAAAGACUUACGAUGUCGUCAGGAACUUUGUAGUCGGGGUCGAUCAUGCCGCAGUAUGUGUGAGACGAUGUGCUGAACAGGUGCUCCAUCCACUCCUCCCACCAUUGCUUAUAUAGCUGAGUAAUAAAGAGAGCCGGCACCCAUGCCGAUAGAUCGAUGUCUGUCGUAUCGGCAUUUGGCUGAAGCUGAGCUAUCCUUAACCAUUCAAGCCCACUGGUUAUUGUUUCCCUUGGCUUCACCACAUCAGCAUAACAGAGUCUGAUCGGUAAUUGGCCAAAAGCUAGUUGGCGAGCUAAUGCCGAUGGGUUGUAAAACACAUAAGUGGGACUGGAGUUUUUCCCACUGCCAAGGUGUUUACUGGGAUGGCCCUCGGGGUUAUAAUUGCCAUCAUUAAGUCAUUAUCCUUAUUGAGAGCAUCAUCGAAGGGGUGGAAGAUGAGUGGAAAUCUAGUUUCUAGAUCUUCGUAAGGCAUCCAUGCUCGUUGUUCUUUGGUAAGGUCGUCAUAUAAGGUUUGGAAGAAUCGGCCAAUUUGGUUUUUGUUGCAGCUGGUACUGGGCAGAACUAUAGGAGCCUCGCCAUAAUUGAUGGGCGGACGAGUUGCCGAUUCAUCAUCAGCUAGUUCAUAAUCUUUGGCAAUGUCUCUAGGGAAUCGCUGUGCAAAGAGAUCGAACCGAAGGCGUUUGUGCAUAUGAACAUUUAGCCACAUGUUGAUAAACCACCAGUGGCCUCCUAGGUUGCCGAUGGGUUCCCCUAAUAGAAGCUUCUCAGUCACUUGGUGGAGGAGGUGAUAAGCAGAACCGAGCAAGUAUCGGCCAAGAGGAAAUCGGCCGCCAUCAGCUAGCCUUUCUACUGCCGAUAAGUAGACACAGGUUGGUCCUACUGAUCGGCCACAGAAGACGAACUUAUCCAGCCACAUGUUUAGGAAGGUGGCUAUGACAGAACCGCCCAAUUUAUACAAGUUCAAGUACGACUGUCCCUGUUUAAAACGUUGACACGCGCAUACUCUCGCUUAUAUAAACCCGGUAGUCUGCCGAGUGUCACGAAGGACCUCGGUAAAUCAACUUUACACCAAGAUCGCAUGAUUAAGCAAAUACACAUCACAUACACGGGGAUUUGCAGCGGAAAUAAUAUUACAAAAGAGUUCACAAAUAAUAGUACAAGUUUGGAUUUUCCAAAUUGAUUAGAAAACAAUAUAGCUUUCAAAUGAUUACUGUUGACGGUCCUUAAUGCUCAUAUUUAACCAUCAAUUAAUCAUGGAAAAGGAUCCAAAUGCAACCAACACCUAGACUUAGGGUUUUAUCUGACAGAAUUCCACGAGUUUUGGUGUUUGUCUAUUUCUGCAGGGGGUUAUAAGGAAAUACGGAAGAAAGGCCCACACGUCGGGUUUACAUAGAGAUAUUAACGUGUCGCGCAAUUUUCUAUCAUCUAGAAGACUCCAGAAGCCACGGGACCGAACGGGAGACGUAACGGAGCCGGGCACUGGGCGCCCGCCCUCCCUUACUGGGCGCCCGCCCUCCCCCCUGGACCAAUCAGGGUGAAGUUCGGGGAUCAUGCUCCACCGACCUAAUACUUCAAGGAAAACCACACGAUCAUUGUCGGUUUGAUCCGACGGCCCAGAUUCACUUGAAGGGACUAUAAAACCAGACCCCCUGGCCCCUGGAGAUCAUACCUCUUCUACAGAAUAAAAGCUAGGGUUUCAAUUCUUCAUCCAAGUAGAGAGGAUCCCUCUAGUUCUUCUAGUUCUACCUCUAGUUCAUCUAGAUCUAGUUCUAGUUCAUCUAGUUCUAGUUCUAGUUCCUCUAGUUCUAGUUCUAGUUAGUUCUAGUUGUAAUCUAGAAAAUAGGGAGAGAGAAGAGGAGAGCGGAGGAGGAGCCGGAUCUGUCGGAUCUUCCUCAACAUUGUACCUUUGCAGCAUCUGGUUCGUUCUUCAUCGUUCUCCAGGUUCUUCAAUUCAUAAUCCUGAGUUCUCUAAUUACUUUUAUUUACAUUCAAGUUAUUUAUUGGAUUCCCGCUUGCAUCAAGUGCUCUAGUCUUUAUAACAUUAGAGUAGUAAUUAAUAGAUUAGACGUGGUGUUUAGUCUUCCAAUUACCUGGAAUUGCACCCAAUCCUGCGGAUUGUUGUGGUAGCCUUAGGGUAGUGACAGCCCUAACGGUCGACGUAUUCCACCUCGUUUGGAUCGGUGUUUGUAGGACCGUAGUCGGAGCUUCCUAGCCCCCUUCUCAUCUCUUUCUGUGGUUAGUGUUCUGAUGUCCCGAAAUAGAUAAUCUUGAAGUAACUCUCAGGAAACUUCCUCUCUUCCCACAAAAAUAUUCAUGUAGUUAUCCUUGGGCGAUCUUGGAUCUUAAUUAGUACACUCACGUUCUCUGUGGAAAAUCGAUACUCUGGAAUACUCCCGGGUGAAGGCUACAUCGGUAUCCGUGCGCUUGCGGAUUUUUUCUGUUUGCGUUUAAAAUACCCAACAAGCUUUCUGGCGUCGUUGCCGGGGAACGGUAGCUGUGCUAGUUUCGAACCAAGUCGUCCGUGUAUCCUUUUUCUUUUCCUUUUUUAUCACACUCACCUUACUAUUUUCACCAUACCACAUGUAUUUCACUCUAAGCAUUAAUGAGCAUGGAAUUUAUUUCAUAGCCACUUCAUUUACUCCAUGCUCAUAUGCAACAUCUUCACAAUCCAUUAGUCUCUCCAACAUCACCACAUUCGAGAUCUCCAACCCCCUCUUACUUUCUAUUCAUAAAAACUUUAAAAGGGCGGUUGUCGAUGCAUAUGUCUAUAUUAAAUAUUGCAGAUCUCGUUGAGUUGAUCUUGAUAUAGGUCAGCGUUGGAGGGGAAACCACUCGCCGACAUAAAUUGAUGGUUUCCCAAGGACAAGCUUAGUGUCCUAAAAUAAGCACUGAUCAGAUCGUAACAUAAGCUUUUAAUUAUUUGCAACACUACCUUGUGUAUUGAGCAUAUAAGGAUAAUUGUAAAAAUAUUCCUUCGGGUAUUCUUGUCACUAACCUUUGCAGGAUUGAAGCAAGAAGAUCGGAUGAAUGACAAGCACAAGGUAUGUCCAACCAAUCAUCAUACAACAUUGAAUUAAAUUCAUCCAAACUUGAAUUUUGCAAAAUUCUAGCUUGGGGGAGUACUUUACAUAAAAACAUCCUUUGCCAUGUUGCUAUGUUGGUUGUCCCUACCUUUGAGACAUGCUCAAUUUGUUAAAUACUAAUCACACUACUUCAUCUCCACUUGAGUAGAUCUCUAUAAAUGCUCUCAUGCUACCUUUAUUUGCUUUAGUAUAUGUCUAGGUUUGGAGUAGUUUCAUAUAUCUCUCAAUUAAGCAUGGUGCUUAGCUAGGAAUGAUGAUCUUACUUCCAAGGGAUUUUAAAUUAAGCAUGGUGCUUAGGUUAAAAUGCCCUCCUGAAUCAAAUUAGACAUGGUGUCUAGGUUGAUUUUUGAGCUGAUAGUAUGCUAUAGUAGAUAUGGGAUAUUUUGUUGGAUUAACCCCUGCAGGAAAACUUUCAAUAUCGACCUGGGAAGUCCUGAGAUAAACUCACAUUGGAGACAAAGAGAGAGACACAUAAAGUUUAACAAUUUACACAAGGAAGGCAUAUCUCACAAGAGAUGAUUCAUGGAGGGUGCCAGAAACACGAUGCACAACCGCUAAGAAAGGAAAGCUUCCACAAGGUGAUACUGUACCAUCACUCUUCAAGUAAGGUAACAUCUUAAGGUACUUGACUAUCACUUCUAUAAGCUUUUCCUUGGUUCUGGCAUUCACAUGAAUAAAAGAGACAAACAUGUAUGAUUUACAACUUUAGAUUAAUCAACCCAAUCGAUUCAACAUGUUUAGUCUUUCUACCUUCGUGAUCCCACACUCCUAAUCAUAUAAGCUAAAACAUUGCACAUUCAAUCUUUGGAAGAUAUAAACAAAACAUAAGUAUACAUAGAUUAUCUUUCCAUUAGGUUGAGCGAUGUGAUCUGACAAAUGUUUUAAAUAUUACACUCAUGAUCUUAUUAUCCAUCAACUUGGUCUAUGCUUAAGGAUAGAGAAGAAUAAAUACACUUUUGGUUCUGUUAGUGUUUUCCACCAACAGGGCCCAUGCACUUGAUCUCUGCCUUGUCUCUAUGAGCAGGUACACUUUAAGCAAAACAUGGAAGAGUUUUACAACUCCCAGACUCCACCAAGUGAAGAACCUAGAUCUACGAGCACAAACACGCUGGAGAGACUGGACACUAAGGCAAUCACUGCCCUAAGAUGCUUGAGGACGUAACUACUGGAGUAACCCAUGGAAGUAAUUACUGACCUUCUGCCGGUCAAGAGAGACAAUCCAGGACGCCCCGUCAUCCCGAUCUCCAUCAGGCAUGGUGGACUUCCUAGAAGCACUCUGCGACUUUGGCUCCAGCAUCAACAUUAUGCCCAGGAUACUCUAUGAAAAAUUCAUUACACAUCCUUUACUAGAAACAACCAUGUGUUUGCAGCUUGCAGAUCAGACACUAAGUUUCCCAAAGGGAAUAUUGAAGAACCUCUGCGUCCGAGUUGGUACCUUGUACGCCCCAGCAGACUUCGUGGUGAUAGAGACUAGUACUGAUGAGAGGGCACCCAUCCUAGGGAGGCCAUUCCUGAACACCUUAGGAGCUGUCAUCUACGCUAGUGCUGCCAAGAUCAAUUUCUACAUCAAGGAGAGGAAGGAGACGUUUUCCUUCAAGAACAAGACUACACAAAUCUCAGAGCAAUCCCGACAUGAACCAAGGAAGAGGAUCAACAGGGGGAGCAGGAACAAGCAAAUGUGGACUGAGUCAGCUAAGAUGGUCACUGCAGCUCAACGAGGUCAAGAUCGUCGACUUAAGUCACCGUUCCUGACCAAAAAGGAUGCCGCAAUCACUUAACAGCUCCUGCAUGGAACCAUGUCCCUACAACCAACACACAUUUAGCUCCAGAUGAUUUUAAGGUUAUUGACAUGGGAGAAGACAAGUACGAUCCAUCCAUCAUCCUUAGGAGACCGUUCCUCAGCACCGCUAAAGCAAUCAUCUACAUUGGAAUCGGAGAAGUCCACAUGCACUUCCCCUCUGAGAAGGUACGCUGCUAUUUUACUGACCCUAACUAUAUAGUUGAAGACUCUAAGCAGGUCAGGGCAAGAAGAAUACGACGCAACCGCAACUAGAGGAGGCAAAUCAUCAAGGACGGAUGGGCAGACUAUGAAGGAGAAGUCGUAAGGUCUGAAGACAUACAGCUUGAACAGAACUGUCCUGAGGAGACCGUAGCACCGAGUCAGGUGUGCAGAAAGAAGAUAGUUAUACACGAAGAGCAGGCGCCGUCGGAACCACCGACUACGCCAUCCAGCGAAUCCCAAGAUGAUUGAGAAAACAAAGAAUCCCGUUCGGAGGACUUAAAAACACCGAACGUCUUGCCAAGAGGUAAACUUGGUAGUUAUCCUUUUCUUUUCAAUUAUCUUAAAAUAGUUUGCUUAGUUAAUCAGGUUCAUAUCAUCUCGAAAAGAAAAUAAAAAUGUUAAAAAUAGUAAGCCCCAUGUGAGUAUGCUCAUGGCAUAAAACCCAUAAGUACAUUCACUGUGGUGGCAUAAAAAUGAAAUAAAUAUAUUCCUGUCCUAUAAAAAUAAAAUUAUAAAAAUAGAUUUAUGAUCCCACUAAAAAGUGUAAUAUUUAUUGAGGAGACUCAACAUGAUAAAGGCUAGAUAUUUAUGCUAACACUUAACUAGUUCCACAAGCUUUGUUGUCUAUUUGAGCUCCACAGAAUUCAAGGAUCAAAGAAGACUAGCAGACGGAGGACAUCCUAGUCACCAUCAGGGUGCUGCUGACAUUCAAAUAUACCUUCGCCACCUGCUAGCUACAUCAGAAGGAAUUACGUCAAAAUCCAGCUUGGGGGAGAGCACCUCCAUUUAUCCAGCUAAGUAUUCUACUCACGUUUAUAUUUUACUCAAAUAAUAAAAAGAUGCAUAAUCGUAAAAAACCUAAAUAAAGAUUUUGUGCUUAUAUAUAUAUCUUUGCUUAGUUUGCUAAAUAAAUAAAUAAAUAAAAUUUGCUAUGAACCCUCAUGAUAAGCUCUCACAUGGAAAUGAUGAAUAGUUGCUCUACCAUAAUUAGUUCUCAAAAUUGAAAUCUCUCUCAAGUUUAGGCAUGACUGUUAUUAAUUAAGAUUUGCUCUAAACCUGAACUUGUGGGAAGAGUACUUGAUCUGAAGUCUAAGUCGUUAACGGAUAUGAUAUGGGAAGGUUGAGCUGCUGUUUAUCUGUUCCUAGAGAUGCUAGAAUUCUGGAGAAUUUUAUCUUUGAAAAUCUUUAAAAUGUUGCAUGAUGAGUUCCUGUAUGAUGAGAGUUUAAAAUCCUACCACAGCCAUAUAUACAUGCUUGCUAGACUUUGAGCCACACAUUUACUUUUUACUGCUUAUGAGCAUUGAGUGUGGUCAAGCUGUGUAGACCCUUAGGAACUUGUCAUGUGGUUAAAAUCAAGAUUCACUUGCACGUUCACUCAUAUAUGCUGCUUCCACUCCGGAAGUACCAUCCACAUAUAUCCACCCAUUUCCAUCUCCAGAACCACCCAAAAACAUUCUACUCAUAAUCCGAGAGAGAAUAGCCAAACAACAUUCUCCUAUUUCUGUUUUUCCCUGUGAAAUAAAUGCUCAGGUUAUCUUGUUACUACCACUUGCUAUAUUAUUUCAAGAGAUGAAUGCUCUAAAAAAAAGAGAAAAAAAAGAGAAAGAAUACGAGGAAAUAAAAAGGGGCAAGUGCCCGGAACCUCGAAAGAAAAGAAAAAGUGAGACGAGAGGUAAAAAUGGACAAGUGUCCGACAGUAGAAUUAGGGGUACAAGAUACCCACCUGAGGGAAAAGAAUAAAAAAGAGAAAAUAUAGAGCAUCUCAUUCUCCUCAAAAAGUUUCAAAAGAGCAAGAAAGGUAUGUAUCCCCUCAAAAGAGCAUAAGUAGAAUUAGACUUUCAGUAUUAUCACCAUCAUCACCAUACACCAUUCAUUCACCACACAUGCACAUCUUGAUUUGACUUAUUGACUUGUUCUUCUGGAUCCAUGGUUUGACUAUGCAAUAAAUGUUUUGUAAGUAUGUAUUAGCUGUCUCCCACCUAUGAGCUCCAGAUAUCAAAACCUUAUUAGAGUAGGGUGAGAGAGAAGGCAAUACCACUAUGCCUUAUACCAAAAAUACCACAUACUUUGAGAGAAGGCAUAUACCAUUACUGCCUUGGUAAGGAUCCAGAAAUACCACAAAAGAGAGACUAGAGAGAGUCAUACAAGGAAUCUCUGAGUUUUAUUUGAAAAUCUGCAAAAACUCCAGAGCUAUAGUUAAUCGAAGAACAAGAGACAUGGUGCUUGACUAGACUGUUCUAUCUUUUAACUACUCAAGACAGAAGUGAUGGUUACAAGUCCCAUGGUGAAAGGUAAAUGAGUAAGUUUUAAGUCUUAACAGUUUACUCUAACCAGAGAUGAGAUCUUGUUUAAACGCAUGUGUAUCUUUAAGUUAUGAAACCACUGCAGAAACUCUUGAGUUCAUCUUUGCUCAGGGACGAGCAAAGGUUAAGCUUGGGGGAGCUUGUUGACGGUCCUUAAUGCUCAUAUUUAACCAUCAAUUAAUCAUGGAAAAGGAUCCAAAUGCAACCAACACCUAGACUUAGGGUUUUAUCUGACAGAAUUCCACGAGUUUUGGUGUUUGUCUAUUUCUGCAGGGGGUUAUCAGGAAAUACGGAAGAAAGGCCCACACGUCGGGUUUACAUAGAGAUAUUAACGUGCCGCACAAUUUUCUAUCAUCUAGAAGACUCCAGAAGCCACGGGACCGAACGGGAGACGUAACGGAGCCGGGCACUGGGCGCCCUCCCUCCCUUACUGGGCGCCCGCCCUCCCCCCUGGACCAAUCAGGGUGAAGUUCGGGGAUCAUGCUCCACCGACCUAAUACUUCAAGGAAAACCACACGAUCAAUGUCGGUUUGAUCCGACGGCCCAGAUUCACUUGAAGGGACUAUAAAACUAGACCCCCCUGGCCCCUGGAGAUCAUACCUCUUCUACAGAAUCAAAGCUAGGGUUUCAAUUCUUCAUUCAAGUAGAGAGGAUCCCUCUAGUUCUUCUAGUUCUACCUGUAGUUCAUCUAGAUCUAGUUCUAGUUCAUCUAGUUCUAGUUCUAGUUCCUCUAGUUCUAGUUCUAGUUAGUUCUAGUUGUAAUCUAAAAAAUAGGGAGAGAGAAGAGGAGAGCGGAGGAGGAGCCGGAUCUGUCGGAUCUUCCUCAACAUUGUACCUUUGCAGCAUCUGGUUCGUUCUUCAUCGUUCUCCAGGUUCUUCAAUUCAUAAUCCUGAGUUCUCUAAUUACUUUUAUUUACAUUCAAGUUAUUUAUUGGAUUCCCGC
rnacentral:lncRNA from 1 species